rnacentral:lncRNA from 1 species
GACCUCCUUGCGUCGUUGGAAAUGGAAAAUGGAGAGAAGAUUCGGCGUGAUUCAGUGCUCUUUGGAGGACCAUUGAUCAGAUUAAAGCAUGAAGCCUGGCAAUUUUUCAUCCUACACUAUGGAAGUAUGCCAUUAGAAAAUUAUUUUCAAGGCGAAGCGAUUCCGACAGUUUGGAGACAAAUUUUUUCUGUGAUGGAGUUACCCUUUCACUUGAAAGUCUGCUUCAUCUAUUUGUGUGUCUUCCCUCCAAGUAUUGAGAUAUCUACGGAGCAAUUAUAUCAGUUGUGGGUAGCUGAAGGUUUCAUACCAUACAACGGUGAAGAAACUGCCGAACAUUACUUGAAAGAACUAAUCCAUCGCGGCUUCAUUCAAGUGAGUAAGAGAAGAGCCAGAGGCACAAUUAAAUCGUGUUAUGUUCCAAGUAUUGUAUACUACACUUCAGUGUUUGUGGUGGCAGAGAAGACGGGAUUUGUCUGGAUGCCUUACAUGGAAGAGGAAUCACUGGCAAAUGUUAAACGGUGCUUCAUUUUUAAAGAUUUGAUUGAGUUCUUUUCUUUAGAACAUUCUGACAUGUAUCUCCAAUCUUUUCUCAAUCACAGUCCAAAAAGAUAUCAUCUCGCUCUGAUAGAUUGCGAGAAUUUUUGUGAAAAGUUAAAACACCUUCGGGUACUGAACUUGGGUUCUGCAGUUCUCGACCAAUUUCCACCCGGAUUAGAAAAUUUAUAUCUUUUGAAGUAUUUGAAAUUGAAUAUCCCUUCGCUCAAAUGCCUUCCUUCAAUGCUAUGCCUUUUACACCUUCAAACACUAGAAAUGCCAUCAAGCUACAUAGAUCAUUCACCAGAGGAUAUUUGGAUGAUGCAAAAACUCAUGCAUCUAAACUUUGGUUCUAUCACUCUGCCCGCACCUCCAAAAAAUUAUUCUAGCUCUCUGAAAAAUCUCAUUUUCAUAUCAGCUUUAAUCCCUAGUAGUUGUACUCCUGAUAUAUUGGGCAGACUACCUAGUGUUCAGACUCUUCGGAUAUCUGGAGAUUUGAGUUACUAUCAAUCUGGGGUUUCCAAAAGCCUUUGCGAACUCCACAAACUUGAAUGCUUGAAGCUGGUGAAUGAGAGCAAGCCCUCACGGAUGGUCCUGUCUGAAUACCAAUUUCCCCCAAGUCUGAUCCAACUGAGCUUAUCAAAUACUGAGCUAAUGGAGGAUCCCAUGCCAAUUCUGGAAAAUCUUCCACGCCUUCGAGUGCUGAAACUGAAGCAGAACUCGUAUUUAGGAAGAAAGCUUGCUUGUGUUGGCUUGAGUAGCUUUCCGGUACUUAAGGUUUUGCACCUGAAAUCAAUGUAUUGGCUAGAUGAGUGGACGAUGGGUGCUGGAGCAAUGCCGAAACUUGAAAGCUUAAUUGUCAACCCAUGUGCUUACUUGAGAAAGCUUCCAGAAGAGCUGUGGUGCAUAAAGAGCUUGCUGCUGUACGGCCAAGGCGGAUGUACGGUACAGCAGAUUUGGGACCUAAGGCUCUUGCAAUUUGAAAAAUCUUGUCAUCAUCAUUCAUUGGUUUUCCAAUGGCUGCCAACUUGUCGCAAAGGCCCUUGAAUUUCUUAAGAAAUUCAUCAAGCUUGGAAGAUCCUUUCUUUAGAGAAUAAAGGCUAUCUUUUAGCCAUGUUUCUUGCUCCUUAGUUGCAGGCAGCAUGUUUUCUUCAACGGUGAGCCAGAUUUCUCGAGUCGUUUGCAAGCUGAUAACCAUGCUCAACACGUCUUCGUUCAUCAUACUUCUGAGCCAAGUUGUGAGAAGUCCAUCAUUAUUUUUCCACAUGAGAAAAUCUGGAUUAUUUAUCUCCUUCCCAUCUUGCUCUAUCAUCUUCGGUGGAGUCUUAACAUCAACUAUAUGGUGAUUUAGCCCAAGGGUAAAUAUAAGUGGUUGAACUUGAGAACUCCAAAUAAGAUAAUUUUCAGUGUUGAGUUUUAUUGGAACCAAACUCGAACACUGAUGGAAAGAUUGAAGGGAUAAGGAUGGUUUUGAAUUUGAACUUGAAGCCAUUAGGCUCUGAUACCAUGAAAAAUAUUUGAGAUGCUUGAAUAUGGUGAAAAUAGUAAUUGUUUUUGUUACUUCAACAAUUCUUGAAUUUUACAAAUAUAUAAAGACGUUUAAGAUGCUGUACAAGGAAAGACAAUAUUUACAAUAAUUAUAAUAAUCAACUAGCCGUUGUGAUGAAUCCACCAUGACAUGUGCUGCUAUAUUUUCCAUCAAUUAUGGCUUAGACGAGAUGUUGGAAAUCCUCUUGCCAUGGCGGUACAAGCUACCAUAUUUGUUGCUUGUGACUUGUCCUUAUCAGUUCUGGUGCACCACUUCAUCAUGCUAACAUUAUUCUUGUGCUCCACUGUAUCAUGCUAACAUGCUAAGGUACAAAUGCAGUGCUAGCACUGAAUGUUAUGGAUUCGCAUGUCCUGCACCAUAAGCAAACGGCGACUGCCUUGUUUUUGUUGUAUCAGUUGCUUCAGCUGCAAAAGAAAUGGAUAUGUGCAUAGUCCAAUACAAGAAGGGUCGCAUUGAUUUAUAUUGAAAAGAGUAAUUUUACACCCGUGGUAUCAUGAUUGCAGACCUGAUUACUGACGUACACUAGUCAGUAUGGAGACUUUGAGAAGGCCAGCAAUACCAGAUACAUGAUGACAUAUGCCACGGAGGUGCCGGCCACCGCAUCUAUAGAAGAUCUGGCUCCACGAUUAAUUUGUUACGUUCAAAUUUAUUAUCUUGGUAUUCGGGAUAUACACUCUAGGUGCAGUGACAUUAGACUGAAAUGAAUAUGAAAGUUAUAUGAAAACGAUUAAUAUAUUUUGAAAAUGAUAUACUGAUGAUUUAACUAAUGCAUCAAGUCAACUUUGAGGAUAGCUGCGUCAAUCUUUUUAAGUCCCCUAGAUGAGAGGCUAAGUAUUGCUGGAGAUGACUUCGUGGUAUAAUCUGUCACCGCAACCAGCCAUGGUUGCCUUAGUUUCCUGUUAUUUAUGAACAAUAACAUUUAUUAGACGUUUCAACGCUGUCGUACUCAUUCGUGAAGUAAGGAGUAUGUGAAGGUAUAAAUUUGCUUUACAGAUUCUUUUCAACAAACCAAAAUCAUCCGAGCAGUAGCUGCUUAUUUUAUUUCUCCAUUUUUCUUUUGUUCCAGUCAAAGAAGGAAGCAAUGCCUUCUAGGGAUAGCAAAUAUUCAAUUAUGGAUGGAUAAUAUCCAUCCAAACACAAAUCCAUAAUUAUCCAUAAUGGAUAUAUCCAUAUCCAUAUCCAAUAUUUAAUAUUGGACAUGGAUAUGAAUUUUAUCCAUAUACCUAUGGAUAUCCAUGGAUAUCCAUAGAUAUUUUAUUUUUAUAUAAUAAAAAUAAUAAUAUAAAAUAAUUAAAAUUCUAAUAUUAAAUUUGGCUAUUAAAUUAUUUAUAUUAGUAAUAAUAUAUAUAUAAUAAAAUGGCGGUCUGGUGGUUGGUGGUGGUGGUGGUCCGGCAACUUUCCGGCGAUAUUCCGGCAACUUCCGGCGAUAUUCCAGCACUGUGCUUCUCCUGCUCUCCAUCAACGAUCAAACCAAAAACCAAAGUGCAGCUCCAGGACUUUUGGUUUUCUUCUAACCUCAGAAACAGAGCCCCCCACUUCUCUCAUAAGUGUCCAUAAAUCAUGGCAUUGUGACAAUAAUGACCUGAAAAGCUUAACAGCAUUACUCCACAUUCAAUCAAAAUUCAAAAUAUAUGUGUACCUUAAAGUUGUUGUGCAAAAUUAUAAGAGUGACAAACGAUACUAAUUGUAUAUUUUUAGUUCGUUGCACUUCUUAAAACUCUUGUGGCCAAUAUAACAAACGACGAUUGUAUUGUAUAAUGUUAUUUCACUCAAUUACGCACGGUUUUCAUCUCUACUUCCAUCACUAAUACUAAACAUAUAUGAAUACGCUAACGUUGAACAUGAAGUUACCAUAUAGUAAGACAAAACGUCAUAAUAUAAGAUUGAAAUGGAUCCAAAACCAUAAGCACAACACCCACCACACUGUAAAAGGAAAGAUAUCAAAUGUGGGGUGUUGAAAAAGAGACAAUGAAACAUUGAACAAGGGUCAGAAAUUAAAUAAUAGUGACUUUGAAAAGGCAAGGUGAGAUCCCCAUCGUGAUGAUGAAUUAAUUACAUUUCACGACACAUGUAAAUAAAAAAUAAUAUUCUUAUGAUGAUUACAUAAUAAUAUUCCUUUUUAAUCUCUCACCCGUCUCUCUCUUGCUGUGACGGACUCAAAUCUGGCUAUAUAAACAAUAGUAAAGCAGAGGAAAUGAUAUUGUAAACUAAGAUUAAAAAAAAUAAAAGAAAGAAAAAUUGAUUUCACUCAUUCAGCUUUCCACUCACCGAACCAAAUCAUAAACAGAACACAUAACACAUUAAAACUCAAAAACAUUUUUGUUGCUUCGAGUCUUGUACUCAAAUACGGCAAGUCCUGAAGCAAAAAUAGAAACGACAAAACAACAGAGGAAGAAGAAGGGGAGAGAAAGAGAGAGGCACUGUGUCUUCUUCUUCUUCUCUUCUAUGUGUCUCUCAUUUUGAUUAUUAUUAUCGUACGUGUUGUAGUAAUUUAAUUCCUCUGUGGAUAUAACCCAAAAAAAAAACAAAAGAAAAAGAAAGAAACAGAGCAUUGUUUGCUCUGUUUUAUUUUUGUUUGUAUAGAUCACAGGGUUUGCCUCGGCUGUCGCCACCGAAACGGUUUUCAAGGACAAACCCAGGUCAGUUUUUGUUAUUUUCUCAAAUGGGUUUCCUUCAUUUUCUUUGAUUUUUAGCUCCCACGUCCCCUCUGUCUCUCUCUCUGCUGUACCGUACAUCCGCCUUGGCCGUACAGCAGUUUAAGUGGUAAGUUUUAGCAUAUUUUUUUUUUUNNNNNNNNNNNNNNNNNNNNNNNNNNNNNNNNNNNNNNNNNNNNNNNNNNNNNNNNNNNNNNNNNNNNNNNNNNNNNNNNNNNNNNNNNNNNNNNNNNNNNNNNNNNNNNNNNNNNNNNNNNNNNNNNNNNNNNNNNNNNNNNNNNNNNNNNNNNNNNNNNNNNNNNNNNNNNNNNNNNNNNNNNNNNNNNNNNNNNNNNNNNNNNNNNNNNNNNNNNNNNNNNNNNNNNNNNNNNNNNNNNNNNNNNNNNNNNNNNNNNNNNNNNNNNNNNNNNNNNNNNNNNNNNNNNNNNNNNNNNNNNNNNNNNNNNNNNNNNNNNNNNNNNNNNNNNNNNNNNNNNNNNNNNNNNNNNNNNNNNNNNNNNNNNNNNNNNNNNNNNNNNNNNNNNNNNNNNNNNNNNNNNNNNNNNNNNNNNNNNNNNNNNNNNNNNNNNNNNNNNNNNNNNNNNNNNNNNNNNNNNNNNNNNNNNNNNNNNNNNNNNNNNNNNNNNNNNNNNNNNNNNNNNNNNNNNNNNNNNNNNNNNNNNNNNNNNNNNNNNNNNNNNNNNNNNNNNNNNNNNNNNNNNNNNNNNNNNNNNNNNNNNNNNNNNNNNNNNNNNNNNNNNNNNNNNNNNNNNNNNNNNNNNNNNNNNNNNNNNNNNNNNNNNNNNNNNNNNNNNNNNNNNNNNNNNNNNNNNNNNNNNNNNNNNNNNNNNNNNNNNNNNNNNNNNNNNNNNNNNNNNNNNNNNNNNNNNNNNNNNNNNNNNNNNNNNNNNNNNNNNNNNNNNNNNNNNNNNNNNNNNNNNNNNNNNNNNNNNNNNNNNNNNNNNNNNNNNNNNNNNNNNNNNNNNNNNNNNNNNNNNNNNNNNNNNNNNNNNNNNNNNNNNNNNNNNNNNNNNNNNNNNNNNNNNNNNNNNNNNNNNNNNNNNNNNNNNNNNNNNNNNNNNNNNNNNNNNNNNNNNNNNNNNNNNNNNNNNNNNNNNNNNNNNNNNNNNNNNNNNNNNNNNNNNNNNNNNNNNNNNNNNNNNNNNNNNNNNNNNNNNNNNNNNNNNNNNNNNNNNNNNNNNNNNNNNNNNNNNNNNNNNNNNNNNNNNNNNNNNNNNNNNNNNNNNNNNNNNNNNNNNNNNNNNNNNNNNNNNNNNNNNNNNNNNNNNNNNNNNNNNNNNNNNNNNNNNNNNNNNNNNNNNNNNNNNNNNNNNNNNNNNNNNNNNNNNNNNNNNNNNNNNNNNNNNNNNNNNNNNNNNNNNNNNNNNNNNNNNNNNNNNNNNNNNNNNNNNNNNNNNNNNNNNNNNNNNNNNNNNNNNNNNNNNNNNNNNNNNNNNNNNNNNNNNNNNNNNNNNNNNNNNNNNNNNNNNNNNNNNNNNNNNNNNNNNNNNNNNNNNNNNNNNNNNNNNNNNNNNNNNNNNNNNNNNNNNNNNNNNNNNNNNNNNNNNNNNNNNNNNNNNNNNNNNNNNNNNNNNNNNNNNNNNNNNNNNNNNNNNNNNNNNNNNNNNNNNNNNNNNNNNNNNNNNNNNNNNNNNNNNNNNNNNNNNNNNNNNNNNNNNNNNNNNNNNNNNNNNNNNNNNNNNNNNNNNNNNNNNNNNNNNNNNNNNNNNNNNNNNNNNNNNNNNNNNNNNNNNNNNNNNNNNNNNNNNNNNNNNNNNNNNNNNNNNNNNNNNNNNNNNNNNNNNNNNNNNNNNNNNNNNNNNNNNNNNNNNNNNNNNNNNNNNNNNNNNNNNNNNNNNNNNNNNNNNNNNNNNNNNNNNNNNNNNNNNNNNNNNNNNNNNNNNNNNNNNNNNNNNNNNNNNNNNNNNNNNNNNNNNNNNNNNNNNNNNNNNNNNNNNNNNNNNNNNNNNNNNNNNNNNNNNNNNNNNNNNNNNNNNNNNNNNNNNNNNNNNNNNNNNNNNNNNNNNNNNNNNNNNNNNNNNNNNNNNNNNNNNNNNNNNNNNNNNNNNNNNNNNNNNNNNNNNNNNNNNNNNNNNNNNNNNNNNNNNNNNNNNNNNNNNNNNNNNNNNNNNNNNNUCGGAUGCAACAACUUCCACCCGGCGACAAUGGUUUUGAUAUCAGUGACAAAUGUAACGAAAUCAUUCACCUAUUGAGUGAGGGACAACCGCGGCUUGAUAUCAAUGAAUUUGAAAGGGGCAGGGAGGAGUUGUUUGAUCUAUUGAUUGAGGGACCAUCUGGGCUUUCAGUGGUUGCAAUUCUCGACAGCAGUGGCUUUGAUAAGACUGCUUUUGCUGCUGAUACUUACAACAAUAAUCAUGUCAAGUUCUAUUUUGACUGUCUUGCUUGGGUCAGGGUUUCUGCAUUCUACGAUUUGGGCAAGCUAUUGGAUGACAUAAUCAAGUCUGUGAUGCCUCCAUCUCGGGUUAGUGUAAUUAUCGGUGAAGAUUAUCAAUUGAAGAAAUCUAUUCUUCGAGAUUACCUAACAAACAAGAAGUACUUUAUUGUGCUUGAUGAUGUCUUCGAUAACAGUGAGAUAUGGAGUGAUCUCGAAGAACUUCUUCCUGAUGAUGAGAAUGGAAGCAGAGUAUUGAUAACAGUCACUGAUCCAGAGCUCCUUGCGUCGCUUGAAAUGGAAAAUGGAGAGGAGAUUCGGCUUGAUUCGGUGCUCUUUGGAGGACCAUUGAUCAGAUUAAAGCAUGAAGCCUGGCAAUUUUUCAUCCUACACUAUGGAAGUAUGCCAUUAGAAAAUUAUUUUCAAGGCGAAGCGAUUCCGACAGUUUGGAGACAAAUUUUUUCUGUGAUGGAGUUACCCUUUCACUUGAAAGUCUGCUUCAUCUAUUUGUGUGUCUUCCCUCCAAGUAUUGAGAUAUCUACGGAGCAAUUAUAUCAGUUGUGGGUAGCUGAAGGUUUCAUACCAUACAACGGUGAAGAAACUGCCGAACAUUACUUGAAAGAACUAAUCCAUCGCGGCUUCAUUCAAGUGAGUAAGAGAAGAGCCAGAGGCACAAUUAAAUCGUGUUAUGUUCCAAGUAUUGUAUACUACACUUCAGUGUUUGUGGUGGCAGAGAAGACGGGAUUUGUCUGGAUGCCUUACAUGGAAGAGGAAUCACUGGCAAAUGUUAAACGGUGCUUCAUUUUUAAAGAUUUGAUUGAGUUCUUUUCUUUAGAACAUUCUGACAUGUAUCUCCAAUCUUUUCUCAAUCACAGUCCAAAAAGAUAUCAUCUCGCUCUGAUAGAUUGCGAGAAUUUUUGUGAAAAGUUAAAACACCUUCGGGUACUGAACUUGGGUUCUGCAGUUCUCGACCAAUUUCCACCCGGAUUAGAAAAUUUAUAUCUUUUGAAGUAUUUGAAAUUGAAUAUCCCUUCGCUCAAAUGCCUUCCUUCAAUGCUAUGCCUUUUACACCUUCAAACACUAGAAAUGCCAUCAAGCUACAUAGAUCAUUCACCAGAGGAUAUUUGGAUGAUGCAAAAACUCAUGCAUCUAAACUUUGGUUCUAUCACUCUGCCCGCACCUCCAAAAAAUUAUUCUAGCUCUCUGAAAAAUCUCAUUUUCAUAUCAGCUUUAAACCCUAGUAGUUGUACUCCUGAUAUAUUGGGCAGACUACCUAGUGUUCAGACUCUUCGGAUAUCUGGAGAUUUGAGUUACUAUCAAUCUGGGGUUUCCAAAAGCCUUUGCGAACUCCACAAACUUGAAUGCUUGAAGCUGGUGAAUGAGAGCAAGCCCUCACGGAUGGUCCUGUCUGAAUACCAAUUUCCCCCAAGUCUGAUCCAACUGAGCUUAUCAAAUACUGAGCUAAUGGAGGAUCCCAUGCCAAUUCUGGAAAAUCUUCCACGCCUUCGAGUGCUGAAACUGAAGCAGAACUCGUAUUUAGGAAGAAAGCUUGCUUGUGUUGGCUUGAGUAGCUUUCCCGAACUUAAGGUUUUGCACCUGAAAUCAAUGUAUUGGCUAGAUGAGUGGACGAUGGGGGCUGGAGCAAUGCCGAAACUUGAAAGCUUAAUUGUCAACCCAUGUGCUUACUUGAGAAAGCUUCCAGAAGAGCUGUGGUGCAUAAAGAGCUUGCGCAAAUUGAAUUUACAUUGGCCUCAGACAGAGUUGAGACAAACACUACGGACUUUCAAGGAUAUGGAGUGGCGGUAUGACAUCCAGUUAUAUCCUUAUGGAAUCUGAUGGAUUGAAUUGGGUGAGUUUUAAUCUUAUCUGAUAACUCACUUUUUAUAUGCAUUUUCUUUUUUUUUUCCCACUUUCUCAGUAGAUUUAUGUUUAUCGUAAAACCUUCAAGAAGGUCAUAAAAGUGCCAAACUAAUUGAGAUUGCUUCUGAUGUCAAAAUUAUGCCUCAACAUAGACUCAGCUUGACUGGCAAAACAGAGUGGGAUAGCCACAAAUUACAGCAGAGAAACAAAGAAAGAUCUUUUUAUAUCUAUCUAAUAAGAACUGUCAAAGCAGAUUUUCAUUUAUGAUUCUCAUUUCCCUUUACUUAUGUAGGCAAAACUGGAGAGGGAAACAACACCAGCCGGACUUUCAAUUCUUCGAGUGCUGAAACUGAAGCAGAACUCGUAUUUAGGAAGAAAGCUUGCUUGUGUUGGCUUGAGUAGCUUUCCCGAACUUAAGGUUUUGCACCUGAAAUCAAUGUAUUGGCUAGAUGAGUGGACGAUGGGGGCUGGAGCAAUGCCGAAACUUGAAAGCUUAAUUGUCAACCCAUGUGCUUACUUGAGAAAGCUUCCAGAAGAGCUGUGGUGCAUAAAGAGCUUGCGCAAAUUGAAUUUACAUUGGCCUCAGACAGAGUUGAGACAAACACUACGGACUUUCAAGGAUAUGGAGUGGCGGUAUGACAUCCAGUUAUAUCCUUAUGGAAUCUGAUGGAUUGAAUUGGGUGAGUUUUAAUCUUAUCUGAUAACUCAUACUUUUAUAUGCAUUUUCUUUUUUUCCCACUUUCUCAGUGGAUUUUUGCUGGUAUGUAUGUAGGGGUGUGUGUGUGUGUCUAUACUGUGUUUUGAUUAAUGUUUUAUGCUUACAAGUACUCCAUUUAAGCCCCGGACUUGCAGGUAUGGUUUGGUUAGCUUUGGACUUGUAUGGUUUGCUAGUCAAAGAAAUAUCAAUCUUCUAGGAAAACUUCCUCAUGCGUGUACAUUUCUGGCUUCAUUUUAGUUGCUGAUUGCACGUUCAAUUUCGUUCUUAGAAUAUUCUCUCUCCUUAAAAUGAUGCAUGCACUGAUGUUUUGAAUCAUAUCAGAGAAUCGUUUGUAUUUAUUGAGAGUCAACGUACAUACACUUUGUAGCAUAGCUAAUGCCAUCCAGAUUCAUAAAAAUGAGCCUCAUUAAAAGCCUAGUGGCGAUAUGAGUUUCUUUCCUCAAUAAAUGUUUCUGCAAUUAAAUUGCUUAAAUAUUGGUGGGGAUGCAUAAUUGUAACCCAGUUGAUUAAUUUCUAAUACAACUGAUGUAGCAGGAUUUUAGGUCAUAUGAGAACAAGCAUGUAGGAAAAAAUUCAUCUAGAAAAUUAGUGCAGCCCCACUUUCAAUCAAAUUGCUGUUAUGAACAACAAUUCAUGAGUAAAUUGUUGUUCAAACUACAGGUAGCUUACACAAACUCAAAUGGCUUUUGAGUAGAAGCAAUGUCAACGCUAGGAAUUCAAUACAAAAGCAGUUAAGUUCAAGUAGUAAUAUAAUUUAAAAAAACUCUCGAUAAGAUAACAAGUACCAAAUUUUUAAAAUUUCAUUGAAAUAUUUUCAUACAAUCAAUUUAAUUGCGGCCGUCUUCCAUAUGUUUUCAUAUUUUAAAUUGUUGAAUCAUAAUUAACCUCUUUAUCAACACCACAAAAAAUAUCAUUUUUAAUGCAAACACUUAGGUUAUCACUUAUCAUUGUCUAAUAGAGCAUAUUAGCAGUUAUCUUAAAAAAAAAAAUAGUUAAAUUGUUGUCUGAUUUUACGAUACCUUCAAGUUUGACCCCCUACCUCAAUUGUCAGAGAGGGAAAAAAAAAGAGUAAAUAAUAUGUUUUUCCCAAAUAAAUUAGAUUUUAACAAGUUUUCAUUUACAAAUGCAUUUUAAUCCAAUGAUUUAUCACAAUGUCCCACCAAACUUAACAAAGAAAGAAAGAUAUAGUAUAAUUACAAGUUUCCUAAUUAAACUAUAUUAUUAUGAAUUAAAGUAAAUACUAUUGACUUGAGGAAGCAUUUUUUGUAUUUGUAUUUCUUUAUCAUUAAAUUAAUAAAUAUUAAUUUAUCAAUAAAUUAAUAAAUUAUUUAUUCAAAAAUAAAUAAAUAACUACUCUAAAAUAAUAUCUUUUCAUAGUUCUAAUAAUAUUAUUUUUUUAUAGACACUUUCUAAAUAGGCACUUAAGAGAACCAAUAGAGACCGAUAAGUUAGAAAUAACUUGCUAAGUUGAGAAAUACGACUGACAAAUAAAAUGUGGUUCCCAAAUAAAUUACAUUUUAACAAGUUUUCAUUUAGAAAUGCAUUUUAAUCCAAUGAUUUAUCACAAUGUCCCACCAAACUGAACAAUGAAAGAAAGAUAUAGUAUAAUUACAAGUUUCUUGAUUAAGAUAUAUUAUUAUGAAUUAAAGCAAAUACAAUUGACUUGAGGAACUACUUUUUGUGUUUCUUUAUAAAUAUGUCUAUGUACCAACAAAACUCUUCUUAAAACCAAAAAAAAAAUCUCUCUUUAAAUUAGUAAAUAUUCAUUUACCAAUAAAUUAUUCAUUCAAUAAUAAAUAAAUAACUUCUCUAAAAUAAUAUUUUUUUCGUAGUCCUAAUAAUAUUAUUUUAUAGAUACUUUCUACAUGUAUUGUGCAAUAAUUAAAAAAAUUAUAUUUUUUUAAAAUAUAAUUGCAAUCCAGAUACAUAUACAUUUAUAAUACAACUCUGAACUAUAUCAAGACUAAUUCGAAAAUCUACUUCUACUAAUAAUAAUAUUAAGGAGAAAUUAACCCUAAUAGACAUUUUUACAAUUUGAUUUAAUAUAAAUUUUGUUGUAGAAAUUUAUCUUUUUUAAGAAAAUAUUUGAUUAACAAAUUAUUAUUAUUAUGGCGAAAAUAAAAGGCAGCGGCAGAAGAAGUUUCUAGCAACAAAAUCAAACAUUUAUGAGGUGUGAUUAAUAGUUGAGGUUCUCUAAUUAUCCCUCAGUAGAUUUUAUCAGACUUUCCCAAAUACAAAACAGAUUGUUAAAUAAUGGUUUGGCUUCCUUUUUUAUUAAUUUGGUUCCUGGAUUAUGUUUCAUGGCAUCCUGUGCUCAGUGUAGCCUUAUCUGUUUCAAUCUUUUCUGUAUUGUUUUUUCCUUUUUUUUUUUUUGGUUGUUGGGGANNNNNNNNNNNNNNNNNNNNNNNNNGGGGGGGGGAAUCAAUUGUUAGUGUCAUGUUUUGCCUUUGAUGGUAUAAGAAUAUUUGCCUAUAAUGUAAAUUAUGCACAAUAGGAACAUGUCUAUUUAUGACGUUUUGGACACUUUCUCAUUCUCAAUAGCUAUCCUCAAUUUGAAACUGGUGGUUUGCCAUUGUGUUGUUGGAGCAAUGAAUUGGAUGCAGCUGUCAUUGAUAAGUUCGAUGGUUACUGCACAUGUGUAAUUUGUCUUUCAUGUUUUUUCACUUUUUUCCCCCAAGGUUUAAGCUCAGAUGCAUUGUGUUUGACAGUAACAAAAUAUGAUUAUUGGUUCUUGUUUGAGAUUAUUUAUUUUUGCAAUAGAUUUGAGGUAUUAUUUCAGAACUUUUGAGAUGCCCUUGCACUUUCUCAUGAAGAAUGCUGUAACAUUUAUGAAGAAAACUAAGGAUAAACAAUGAAAUUAUGGAUAAUUAAUGGUUGUGGUAAGUUGUUUCCUAUCGCUAACACCAAAAAGCUGGCAUUUUAGUUUUGUAGAGUUUAGAUUAUCAGUGUUGUUAUUUAGAAAUACUGGUAUGACAGGUAAAGUAGAAAGAUAAUAGACAUGCUGUGGAGUAAAUAAAUUUGAAGAAUGAGAAUCAGAAUUUGUGUGACUAUGAAAAACAGAUUCAGUAGCAUAAGGAAAGGUUGACUCAUCAAAGAUAACAUGUCAUGCCACAUAGACAUGACCUGAAGAAUGUAAGCAUUUAUAACCCUUUUGUGAAGGACUAUAACCAAUGAAUAUACACUUACUGGAAUGAUAAGCAAACUUAUGUUUGUUAUAGUCUCUCAAGUAAGGAUAACAAAUACAACCAAAACAUUUGAGAAAAUCAUAAUCAGGUUUGUGCUUGAAUAUCUUCUCAUAUGGGGUCGAAAGUUUGAAAACAGAAGAUGGUAAUCUAUUGAUGUGAUAUAGAGCAGUAUGGAAUGCAUCCCACCAGAAUUUAAAAGGAAGUUGAGCUUGAGCCAACAGAGUCAAACCUAAUUCAACAAUAUGCCUAUGUUUUCUCUCAACCAAUCCAUUUUGAUGGUGAGUACAAGGCCAAGAAUGUCUGAAAAUGAUACCUGAGUGAUUUGAGAACUCAUUGUUGAAAAUAAAAAAUGAGAUUGAAGUUGUUUGGCUACUGAGAAAGAAAAUCAAGAGUUCUGGAAAUGCUUAAUGAAUUUUAUUUCUCAACACUUAAUCCAUGAUAUCAGUACAGCAGCUAUAUAUAUAUAUAUCUCUCUUAAUCAUGAUUACAUUUUAACUAAUCUAAAACUAAUCAUUAUUAAACUAACUAAUCUUCAGAACAAUGCACAGGGGGCUUGUAACAAAAUUUAACUGAUUUUGCUGAGCUGUCAGUUGAGAUGGCACAGCUAAUACUCUUGCCCUGUAUUUUCUUCAGCUUAGCUCUCUCCUUCUUUUGUUCAGCAUAGUGAGCUACUUUAACAGGCAGACUACCUCAUUUUCAAACUCUUAGUAUCUGGAGAUUUGAGUUAUUAUCGUUCUGGGGUUUCCAAAAGCCUAUGCGAACUACACAAACUUGAAUGCUUGAAGCUGGUAAACGAAACCAUGAGGUGGUAGCUCUCUCGGAUGGCCCUGUCUAAAUGCCAGCUUCUCCAAGUCUGAUCCAUCUAAGCUUAUCAAAUACUGAGUUAUUGGAGGAUACCAUGCUAACACUAGACAAGCUUCCACGCCUUCAAGUGCUGAAAUUGAAGCAGAACUCAUAUUCAGGAAGAAAACUGGCUUGUGUUUGCUCUUGUGGUUUCCCGGAGCUCAAGGUAUUGCACCUGAAAUCAAUGUAUUGGCUAGAGGAGUGGACGAUAGUGGCUGGAGCAAUGCCAAAACUUGGAAGCAUAAUUGUCAACCCUUGUGCUUACUUGAGAAAGCUUCCUGAAGAGCUAUGGUGCGUAAAGAGCUUUUGCAAAUUGGACUUACAUUGGCCUCAGCCAGAGUUGAGGCAAAAUCUACGGGCUCUUGAGGAUAUAGAGCAGCAGUAUGACAUCCAGUUGUAUCCUUAUGGAAUUUGAUGGAUUGAAUUGGAUGAGUUUUAUUCUUCUAUGAUAACUCAAUCUUCAGUUAACUUGCCUAAUUUGGUAUUCAAUUUUUCCAUUUCCUCAGUCGAUUUAUAUCUGCAGUAAUACCUUAAAGGAUUCUUGCAAAUGCUGGUCUAAUUGUUCUUGUUUCUAAUAGCCAUGGACAUUGCUGCAGAGAAACAAAGAAACCUCUGUAUUUUAAUAAGUAAGAACAGUGUAAUAGCAGAUUUUCAUUUGUGAUUCUUAUUUUCUUUUAUUUGUUUAGGUAAGAUCAGAGAGGGAAACAUCACCUACCAGACCUUCAAUUUCAACUGUGAUCCAGCUUUCAUCCAUUCUUUCUUUGUUUCAGCUGUCAGUAGAUUUCGACGACGCCAUGGCUACUGUAUUGUCCACAAACUUGAAUAAUAUUUUUUUUAAUUUAGUGGGUAUAUUGUAUUAUUUAUUUGUUGUUGUGUGCUCAGAAGUACUGCAAUUGCAUAUUGUUCUUUGCUUGAAAAUGUAUAUUGUAUUAUUUAAGCCCUGGAAAAUGUGAGAAGAAAAAGAAAUUAAACAAGAUUACAAGACAUUAGCACAUUGUUCUUUGCUUGAACUAAGUUUUUCUUUUCUUUAGCUUUUGUUAAGAUGCUGUCUUAACCUUCCUCCUUUUUCCUAUUGCUAGUUUGAUAUCUCUUAUCUUUUCUUGAACCAAGAAAUUUGCCUUUUCUUACAAGUAAAGUUCAAAUGCUCUUUCUCUUUUCUCUUAACUUUGGUUUACUUAUGCCAUCAUUUUCAAUUCUUCCAAAACCAUCCAUUUAUCAAUACCCAGUUUGUUCUACAUUCUAAUUUUGCUAUGCCUUCCAACUAAUAUCUGAUUGUGUUGCUUAUAUCGUCUGAAUAUUGAAGUCCUUGAUUACUCAAUAUAACAAUAACAGGUACUUCAAUUAUUAUUCACAAGUUAUAUUUCUUUUUUCAUUUUCAUGUGUCAAAAUCAUCACCACGCAUGCAAUUUAUUUUGUAAAAAUCAUCACUCACAUACUCCUCGUUUCUAAAUUACUUUUUUUAAAAGACCAAAGUUGAAUUAUGUCAUUAUAAACUCUUGAACAGAACAAUCAUCAUCCUUCAUAUUUAUGUUGUUUGUCAGAUAGAACUAACAAUCCUUUAUCAUUUCUUGAUGGUGAUUUUCUGCAUUGAUCAACUGAAUAGUUAUGAAAACCAUCCCCUAACCCCAAAGCAACAAAAGAAUCUACAACCAAUCAGAGGUAAAGAUCGCGGUAUACAUAAAAUGGAAAGAAAAUAGAUAAUAAAUACCAAAGUUAUCUACUGGACCGAGAGUGCCUUGAAAUAUUUUCUGCUUAAUAGAAUACUAGGGCUAUAGACAGCAAAAGUAAAAGCACUGGAAAGUAAUAAAAUGGGACGUCAAAAGUUUAUAUUGGUCUGUUGAGUUGUCUCCUCAAAAAUUAGUCAUUUAGACUUAUAAGUAGGAUUGGUCCUUCUGUCUAAUAGGCGAGGGUUUUAUGUUGAUACUUAGAAAUCUUAGCCCUAGCUCCCCCAAGUUGUAUUAGAAGCAAACCCUUAAAAUAUGGUGGCGGAACAACUCAUGUAUGUUGAAUGAAAAUAGCCCUCCGACGGUGGUUUUUUCCGAAGAAGAUUAUUGUUAUGUCUUGUAUGAGUUGGUAAAGGGAAGCCACUUAGAUUUACAGGUAGAAUUGGUCCUUUCAUCUAAUAAGUUAAUUUUUAGAAUUAAAUACCUAAAAAUGUAAGCAUAGCCACUCUACAGAGACAUCAUAGGAAAAUCAAUGUGAGACGAUCAAAAUCAUGAUAAGCCAACAAAAUUACAAUUUUCUAAGACUGAUGUGUAGUUUCAGUCUCGAACAAUGGUCCAAACUUGUCCGUCUCAAUAAUUUUUCAAUCAAAUUCAAGGAGUUACCUUUAAAUUUUGGAUAUCAAGCCAGUUUUUUUUACUCUCACAUGAGACAUAUUCAAUAACAAAAUUGGAUAUCAAGCCCAUUUUUUUAAUACUACAACUUCUAAUAAAUGAUUUUAGCUCUUAAAAUAGUUAGAUAUCGAGCCAGUUUGCUCUGCAUCUAUUAAAGCAUUCAAAAUGUAUUUCUAAUUUCAAAAGACGUCGAGGACUAACUUUAUUCUUUCCUUCACUGCUAAAUUAACUGGCCAAAGGAACUUCGGCUUUCAACAGACUACUUUUUUAAAAAAAAAAAGUUACCUUUAAAUUUUGUUCCCAUCCUUGAUGUUCACUUAAUAUCAUUCAUUCUUUGCAUAUCUCAUUUAUAGAAUCAUUUAAUAUCAGUCAUUCUUUGCAUCCAUCCAUUCUCAAUCUACAAAAACUUUUGUUUAAUUUAUAUCCUUUGAUAUUCAGCUUUCGUCAUCAACACUAACAAAUAACAAUACGUAUCUCUGAGUACUACUGAGAGAGGGAAAGAUAUGGAAAUUAACCUCACACUAUACGGUGUGAGGUUGAAAAGGGUGUUAGCAGGUGAAGAAGGCACGUUAACUUUGUCAGAUUCAACAAAUUUAACCCCACUUUUUCAAAACCUUCUUACGGAGUCCGAAAUUAUUGCUACUACUCUGCUGGUAAACUAUGAAGCUGACAUGGCUCGGGUUUUGAUUCAACUCAUUAGAGAACAUUUCGCUGAAGACGAAAUACCUUCGCGUUAUCGGCAGCUCACUUAGAAAAUGUUAAAAGAACAGACAUUUGGGAACUUCUGAAAGACAUCAAUUACUUUGUCGAUGAAUCAGAGAAAGCUAUUGACACAUUCUUCAUCAACAUCACGCAGCAGCAAUGUGCAGCAAAGCAGUGAAAUCAUUGAUAUUAGAAAUCGGUUGCAACAAAUUCCACCUGAAGACAAUGGUUUUGAUUUCAGAGAACGAAGGAACGAAUUCACUCACUUAUUGAUUGAGGCACAAUCACAGCUCGAUAAGAGUGAAUUUGACAACGGCAGAGAGGAGUUGUUUGAUUUAUUGAUUGAGGGACAACCUCAGCUUUCAGUGGUUGCAAGCCAAUUCUAGACAGCAGUAGCUUCGAUAAGACUGCUUUUACUGCUGAUACUUACAACAAUAAUCAUGUCAAGUUCUAUUUUGACUGUCAUGCUUGGGUCAGGGUUUCUAUAUCCUACGAUUUUCGCAUGGUAUUGGAUGACAUAAUCAAGUCUGUGAUGCCUCCAUCUCGGGUUAGUGUAAUUAUCGGCGAAGAUUAUCAAUUGAAGAAAUCUAUUCUUCGAGAUUACCUAACAAACAAGAAGUACUUUAUUGUGCUUGAUGAUUAGUACAAAGAGGGUGACGAUGUAUUGGAUGAUCUUGAAGAAGUACUUCCUGAGAAUCAGAAUAGAAGCAGAGUAUUGAUAACGGUCACAGAUUCAGGCUUCCUUUGCUCGUUCGAAUUAGAAAAUGGAGAACCGAUUCGUCCUGAUUCAGUUCUCGUUGGAGGACCUACUCUGACCAAAUUCAGAGAAAUUAGCCUCACUAAAAGCCUAGUGGCGAAAUGUGUUUCUUUCCACAAUGUCGACUGUUUAAAUUUUGGUGGGGAUGUAGAAUAGUAAGUUAGUAACCCAGUUGAAUAAUUUCCAACACAAUUGUUAUAGCAGUAUUCUGGGUCAUAUGAGAACAAACAUGCAGGGAAGUUCAUCUAGAAAAUUAGUGCAGCCGCACUUUCAAUCAAAUUGCCAUAAUGGACAACAAUUCCUGAGGAAAAUUGUUAUGCAAUCUAUAGGCAGCUAACACAAACUUAUAUGACUUUCAUGUAGAAGAAGUGGCAGUACCUGGAGGGGCUAAGUUUAAACAGUCGUAUAAUUUAGAAAAUAAGAUAACAAGUACCAAAUUUUUAAAACUUCCUUGACAUAUUUUCUUUCAAUCAAUUUACAAUCAUCUUCCACAUGUUUUAUAUUUUAAAUGUUGAAUGACAGUCUCGUUCGACAAAAAAAUAUCAUUUAUACUGUAUAUAAAUAACUACGUUAUCAUUGCCUAAAAGCAGUAGAUUAAUUUUGUUCAAAGUUCAUCUAAUAUUGCAGGCCUUGGUUUUCCUCGAAAUAGACUAAGUUCAAUUGUUCGUUCUUUAUUUAUUAUUUGACACUACAAUAAGGAAAAAAAAGAAAACAAUCCUGAAAGGGCAUGAUUCCUUAUACACACCAAUUACAAGGUCAGUAAAAUGGUAUCCAAGAAAGGCAUGGAGGAAUCGCGAUUGAAAAGCUUAGAAACAUAAGUAAACUCCGUUGCAGCUUAGUUUAUGAUCAAGUUCAAAUCUCGAACAAUGGUCGUGAAUGAAAAAAUAUCAUGAGAUGUGAUAAUCUAAAUGAAGGUAAAUGGAUAUUGGUAUUACGGGCUAUGCCUAGGCUAUUUACACAUUUAAACAAUAAUCAUCGCUAUUUUCUACCAUUGUAUCUUCCGAAACUAAUUUUUGCCAAAAAUCAUCAUAUUUGUGCAUUAAAUCUAUUUUAAAAGUAGAUUUAAUCACCAUCAAUUUUUUCAUGGUAAGAUAAAGUAUGGAUAGCUUAUGUACAUAUUCUAUCUAAAAGGCAUGACUUUUCUCUAAAUGCUAAUCAUGUUUUAUCCUGAUAGCCAAUUUAAUAGCCAAUUUAGCACUUCAGCUCUGUUCUGUUAUCCUUUAUUUAUCCUCUACGCGCGAUUGCUCCACUGAAAUUGAAUCAAUAAUGCCUCAGAGAGUUCAUUAACAGCAAGACUAUAUAAACUGUAAGGUAAAGAAAUUUAUACUAGCACAUUGCAAUUGAUAAACAUAGAAAGAUCCCUCUGAAUUCUCAAAUAAGAGCUAACACUAUCAUAUAUUCAACUGUGGAUGCAGCCAUUGGAGUUCCGUCAAUAAUUGGAGUAGUCAAGACAAGAUCACCAGUGCUCAAAAUAAAUAGCUUACAGAAAAAAUAGAAAAUGACAAGUAAUUGACAUUCUCUUAUCAUAUUUCUCAUUGGAUUCCCCUCAAAAGUGAAAUAAAUUAUUGGCGAAAAGGACACAUACAUUCUUAAAUUUUGAAAAAAUUAUCAUGCAGGCACUCAAAUUUGUAAAAAGUAACACCAAGGUCUUUUCUUUAACCAUAAUAUCUCGUGAAUAUAGUAACUAGAAAAUUGAUUUUAAAAAUUUUUAAUCAUUGCAAAUACAAUAUAAGUAAUAUGAUCUAUGUAGUACACUCAUAACAUUAAAAUAUUUUUAAUACUUAAAAUAAUAUUAAAAAUUUUAAAUUAUGAUAUUUAAUUUUAUAUUUUUAUUUAUAAUAAACAUUUUAAAUAAACCUUUGGGUUAAAAAGAUUUUAAAAUUAACAAAAUGUCUUCCUAUUAAUAAUAUUAAAAUUAUUUUUUAUAAUAUUCAAAAUAAUUUAAACUUUAUUUAAUAUUAUGCUUCUAUUUAUUAUUAAAAUUACUUUAAUACGAUAAAAUAUGUAUAAUAAAUUGUAAAAUAUAAAAAUAUUUUCUUGCUUGUCAACAAAUUUUUUUUCCCCAAAAACCGAAAUAAAAUUAUGUGAAUAUCAAUUCUUUAACAGAACAACCUUAGCUUUCUGAUGUUUAAUACUACUCUUUUCAAUUCCAUGCCCAAAAAUUCUAAAAUUUUUAAUUAGAGUGCGUUUGGAAUUGAGGUGCUGUAUCUUUUAAGUUACAGCUACUGUGGAAAAAAAACUGUGACUAUGAAACAAAAAUUAAUAAUAUGUAGUAAAUAUAAAUUUUAAAUAAUAAAUUUGACAAAAUUAUUAAAGAUAUAGUAUAUUUUCUAUUAUACAAGUGAAAAAUCAUAUUAAUAUAGCUUCUAACCUAUAGCAGCUAGUGUUUACCAAAUACUUUAGUGUUGUAGCUCUGCCCAACUUCAAUCCCAAACGCACCCUUAGUCCUGUUACUGGGCUUGCGACAGUUAUGCCAGUGAAGGCAAUUUGAUAUUAAAAUAAUUUUUUUAAUGAAAAAAUCUUUAAAUUAAAAAAAAAAACAAUUGAUUUAAGCGCCAUCAAUCAUGUCAUGGUAGUAAGGCACGUGUCUUGAAAAUGAACACGUAUCAUUUUUUUUACGAGUAGUGAUAGACGUACCGAGCAUGUGAUAGCCCGAGAACACCGAAACGACAGCGGUAACUGUGUUUAGAAAUUUUAAUGACUUGCACGUGAUUUUCAUGUGAUCAACAGUAAAAUAAAGUUUUUUUUAAAAAAGUAACAAAGAUAUUGUGGCCAUUCCCCCCGUCCUCUUCUCCAAAUCUCAACGAGAUCACAUUCGUACCCAUCUCCAGCCAGUUCACCAUCAAGCCCGAAUGUAACACCAUUUGCUUGGUCCUUGCUCUUGAUAAGUCGAGCAUCUUUUUGCUCUUAAUUAGCUCUUGUCGUUUCAAUUUAUUUUAAUUUUUUUUUGUUAUGGUAUUCAAUUUUCGUCCAAUCUUUUGCUAUUUACUCUUCCGGUUCCAAUUUUAUUUUAUUUUAUUUUUUAGUAUUUAAUUUUAGCAUGUUUGAUCGUUCAUUUACUCCUUAUGAUCACUGCAUUCUUCACAUAUUCACAGUGAGUUUCCAAGUUCCCUUUUGCCAGAUGGCGAUUAAGAGACUACUGGAACUGACAAAAAUAAAACUAUCACACAUUGCAAUACAAAGAAAACAAAUCCGUAGCUUUUUACUACUAUGGAACUCAACCAUCUAAAAUAUACAAUAUUCAUUUUCCAACACUCCAAACACUUAUUCAAAACGAAACCCAUCAUCAAUUUUUUUUUUUUUAAAGUAAUAAGGGCCACCGUUAUAUAUAAUCAAGAAUCAAUAAGUUCCCUGCACUAACUAUUACAAACUUACUGUCAAAAACAUUAAUAUAAUGAAAGGCCAACAGGUCUUUACAGCCAUCCAUUUUCAAUAACAAAUUGAAUCUUGAGGUGAACAAAUUACAAGCCUUUUCUGGAAAAUAAGAGGAAAUCGGCACCAAAACCAACACGCCAAUUACCACUGAUUCAUAAUUAUCUUCGACAGCAGUACACAUUCCUCACAGACAACGCAAGCAGCCACGGAACAUAUGUUUCCAGCGUGGCCACCGGGGUAGCGCUUUUCAACCAAUGUCUCAAACCUAAUGCGUCCUUCUUUCUCAAUUUUCAUCCUUAAUCAUACUGAUGAACCAGGCACCGAUUAGGAAUGAGGAGGAAGAGAAUUCCUCGCUUAAGAUCUUCGAUUAAGUGCUCCAGGUCCUUGUGAGCGGAUUCUCUUCCAAACAUGAAUCGCUACUCGACAACACAACCAACAUCAAAUCCGUACCUGAGGACGACUGUGCUUGUGCCGCUGUUGAUCAUUGCCAAAAAAAGAUCUGCCCAUGCUUGUACCGCCUUUGAUCGUUACCGACGAAGGAGAUCAGCCCGUGCUUGUGCCGCCGUUGAUCGCCAUGGAAGAAGAAGAGGAGAGGUGAGGUGACCUUUUUCUUUUUGGCUAAGGAGAGUCGUUUUAGAGUGAUUUGGGUUUAAGGGAUUGGGGGGCUGCGGAACCAAUUUGGAAGGAGUUGGGGAUUUUGGGGCUGAAUGUUUUCAUUUUUUUAAUUUUGUUUUUACUGCAUAUCACGUGAAAAACACGUGAGACUCAUUAAAAUUUCAAAACACAAUUAAUGUUCUGUAGACUGCUUAAAUAUUGAUGGGGUGUAGAGUUGUAACCAGUUGAUUAAUUUCCAAUACAACUGAUAUAACAGCAUUCUGGGGUCGUACGAGAACAAACAUGUGGGAAAAAUUCAUCUAGACAAUUAGUGGAGCCGCACUUUCAAUCAAAUUGUUAUCAUGAACAGCAAUUCAUGAGUAAAUUGUUAUUCAAACUAUAGGUAGCUUACACAAACUUAAAUGGCUUUCAAGUAGAAGCAAUGGCGGUGCUGGAAAUUCAAUACAAUCAAUCCAGGAGGAGUUAAGUUGAAGUAGUAAUAUAAUUUAAAAAACUUUUGAUAAGAUAAUAAGUACCAAAUUUUUAAAAUUUCAUUGAAAUAUUUUCAUGCAAUCAAUUUAAUUACGGCCAUCUUCCAUAUGUUUUCAUAUUUUAAAUUGUUGAAUCAUAAUUAAACUCAUUAUGAACACCACAAACAACUAGGUUAUCAUUGUCUAAUAGAGUAUAUUAGCAGUUAUCUUACAAUAUACUUUCAAGUUUGACCCAUACAUAAAAUAAAAUAAAUAUUUUUCCCCCGUAAGAGCGUCAAAAACUUAACACAACUUCAAAGUGAUUUAUAACUCUCAAGUAUAAAAGUGUGUUGUUAUGAAAUAAAUUGAUCAAUCCGAGGUCGAUCCAUAGAGAAAAAUUUUAAUUUUUUAUUUCUUUUUAAUUUAUCAAAAAAUUAGAAUUUAAAUUCACACUAUUUAAUUUAAGUGAAACGAUGGAAAUAAAUUAUUUAGGAUUGUGGAUUCACUCUUACCAGUAAACAUAAUUUAGUAACUUCUUUUUCUUUUAUUUUUUUAUUGCUCAAAAGAUUAAUUGUAUAAAUUAUCAUUAUUUUCCAUUAAUUUUAUUAUGGAUUAAGUGUGUCGAAAUUUAAUCUGUCUACAAUAAGUUAAAAUACCAUUUUACCAUACUUUGUACUAAGAUAUUAAGAAUUUAUUGUACCAAAUUCCCUUAUUUGUCUACAAUACAUCACAAUUUCAUAAUAUAAAAUAUAUUGAUACAUUAUUAACAAUAAUUAUUAAUAAUUAUAAUUUUUGAAUAAAUAAUCACAAUAAUUAAUAUAUUAUUUUAAUUAAGUAAUUAAUAUUAAUAUUAUUAGUUAAUAUAUUUUUAUAAUAAUUUUUAUUAUAGUUAUUAUAAUUAAUUAAAAAAAUUUACAAUUAAUUAAUAUAUAAGUUAAUAAUUAUUAUGACAAUAAUCCAUUAAGUACUUUUUAGUAAUUUGUUACAAUCUAAUUCAUUCCGAUUCCGAUUCCAAGACAAAGUAAACACUUUUAGUAAUUUGUUACAAUCUAACUCAUUCCGAUUCUAAUUGUAGGACAAAGUAAUUGCAAUCCAGCUCAUUUCGAUUUCGAUUCUUACAGUUCAAGUAAACAACUUAUUCUGAUUCUCAUUACUUAUUUACAUUCCAGCGCAUUCGCAUUUCUAUCCAUUCUGAUUCCAGCUCAUUUCGAUUUCAGUUUAGUAAACGCAACAUACUCUACGAAAAAUCAUUCCUAAUUUAAUAAUUUUUUUCCCUCUUACUUAUUUCCGAAGUUAUUUUCUUCGUCUUCCUAACUUUUCUCUAAUUCUGAAUCCCUUAAUGAUGAGGGGAAAAAGAUUACGAAAGUCAAACUGAUUAAAGCUAAACAUAUAAAUAUUAGAAUCCAAACUUUCCGUGCCCAAAUUCCGUUGAAUAUGAAAUACAUAAAAUUAGCAAAUUGACUACAUCAAAAAAUUAAAAAAAUAAAAAUUCAUCAUGUAAAAAUCUUAUUUAACUCCUAGUUUCAUUACAAAAUCGUUCACAAGUUAAUUGAUAUCCGUAUUGGGUGAUAAAAGCUCAAGCAUUUUUAAUAAGGAAAGCUCAAAAGAAUUUCAUAAGAAAUCACGUACCAAUGAAAAUCAAUGCAGGGAAACAAUUGAGCUAUUUUCCUAGAGCGUAUAACGCUGAUGACAAUGAGGAGAAUCACUUAAUUAACGUUUUGAAAUAGCAACUUGGUUUAGAUCUACAAAGCCACUUGCUAUAUGAAAGCGUAUAUAAUCAUAAUUAAUUAGCGAAAAGCACAUUGUAAUUAUCUGAAUUAAGAAAUCAACGCUUCAACUAAUCUACAAGGGCAUUGGCCAGGGGCAACUGAAGAUGGUUGAAUGAUUAAUUACUUUAAACAAAAAAUAAGUCCAAAUCUAUGAAUAGAAUUUUCCUUUCUUUAUACAUAUUCAAUUAUAACAAACGAUUAUUAAAUUACUCCCAACGAAAGGAUUAGGUUUGUCAUUAUUGCAAUUAAACAAGAUUCUCAUUUUCUCUCGUCGCGUGCAUUGCAAGUUGCAACAAAAAUGCUCUGCCGAUUUGACGCCGGUGUAAUUGUAAGCUAAACUUCUCUUGUUAAGUAAAACAAAUACAUGUUAGCAAAGGAACAAAAGUUCGUCAAUUUGGACAUUGACAACCAAACAACCAAAUUUUUUUUAGUAAAAUCUCUAUUUAUAGAAGCUUUAUUGACGAAUACUCUAUUUAAAUAAGCUCUACUUGAAAAGUUAUACAAAACAUAUAACACCCCAAAUCUCCGAAGAAGGAGGUUACUUACAAAUCGUAAUCCUUACUUAUAAAUUCCAAACUCAAAUACCUCAAAUUCUUAUUCAAAUAAAUCCACAAAUUCAUACGUCUAACACUAAAUAAUCUCUUCCAAAACAUAACAAUAACAAAAGUCUCAAACUCCAAAUUACAAGUUCAUAACAGAAAUAAACUAAAAAGAAACAUGAGUCUAUUCCUCUUCUUAUUCAAAUAGCAAACGGAAACGAAAUCUCUAACUCCAAAGCUACGCAUACCUCUUAAAAGGAACUUAAUCUGCAAAAAGUAAUAACGAGGGGUGGGCCGUCAACUCGGUAAGUAAAAUCAUUCCUAAUACACUAGGCCUAUCGAUAUCAAAAAUAUUGCAAGCCUUCUUUUAUUCAAAAACAUAUAUUAUAACUCAUAAACUUCAUAAAACAACAUAUUUCAAUUAUAUAACAUAAAUUCAUGGUAAUUCAGAGUAUCAAAAGAAUAAUCCAUUAUGAAAGCAAAUCGUAUAAAGUGUACACAGAAGGUAGAUAGUUAGCUCAUGUCACAUAGUGUCACCUAUAGUCUCGGUGACCCGACCAGAAACAGAAUCAGAAUAUCGUGUGCAAACUUAGAACAGAAACCUAGUACUAGUCCAGAACAAAUAUAUCGUAUAAUACGAUCAGAAUUAGAAUCAGAAUAACUACGGACAAUGAGCCAAAACAUAAUGACUUAUACGUGGCACUUUGCACUAUAUGUGGCACUUUGUGGCGCUUUGGCCCUCAAGAGGUGGCCCCCAUAUAGUCUCAAGAGGUGGCCCCCGUACAAUCAUAAAUAAUUAAAAUCAUACAUAGGCACAAAACAUUCAUAUUAGAUUCAUGAAAGUCUAUAGCAACAAUUUAGGCUUGCAAAAAUAUUUCAUAGACAAAAUUAUAAAAGGCAGUCAUGUCAUAAAAUAAUUUACAUAUUAAAAAGCAUUUAUAAAAUAUUUUAUCAAAAGAAUUCAGAUUUGAAAACAUUUUCAUAAACUGAUUUUGGUAUGAAAAUCUAUUAAUCUUCUAAGAAGUAUAAAAACUCUUAUAAUAACAUCAAAAUACUUAUACAUAUCCAGUAUAUUAGGAAUGAAAUUACUUAUCUCGACAAAACAAUUUGAAUUAACACACCUCUAAACCUCUAAGAGCCUCAAUCACCUCAACACCAAUCGCUUUGAUUCUCUCAUAAGCAAAGGUUUGAAUCCUAGGGUUUGGGUAGGAGCGUAAAGAGUAGCAGAGAAGAAGAAGAAUUGUCGUGGACUUCGAGUUAUGGAAGGGAAAAAAAUAUUAAUUUAUAGGGAGUCUUAAGAAACCCUAUUGAAUUUGGAAAAAUAACCAUUUCCUAAAAAUUAUCCCAUGAAGAACCCUUUUUAUAAGGGCAGUAACACCAUUUAUAAAUUUCAUUAAAAAAUAAAUCAAAUAAUAGAAAUUUGGGCGUUACAAAACAGAACCACAGUAUAAUUACAAAUUUCCUAACUUAGCUACAUUAUUAUGAACCGUAGCGAUUAAAGCAAAUACUAUUGACUUGAGCAAGCACUUUUUGUGUUUCUUUAUAAGUGUGUACAUGUACCAAACAAACUAUUACUAAAACCAAAAAAUCUCUCUUUAAAUUAAUAAAUAUUUAUUUAUCAAUAAAUUAAUAAAUUAUUCAUUCAAUAAUAAAUAUAUAACUUAUCUAAAAUAAUAUUUUUUCUUAGGCCUAAUAAUAUUAUUUCAUAGACAUUUUUCUUACAUUUUCUGUGCAAUAAUUAAAAAAAUUAUAUUUUUUAAAAUAUAGUUACAAUCUAGAUACAUAUACAUUUAUUAUUAAAAUUACUUUAAUAUGAUAAAAUAUGUAAUAACAGAUUGUAAAAUACAUAAAAAAAAUUUCAUGCUUGUCAACAAAUAUGUUUUUUUCCUUGAAAACCAAAUUAUUUUUUAUGUCAAUAACAAUUGUCUAACAGAAUAAUCUUUGCUUUCUGGUGUUUAAAACCACUCUUUCCAUUUCAAAUGUAAUUCAGCAUUGAAGGCAAUUUGAUCUUAAAAUAUUUUUCUAAUUUAUGAUUCUUUAUAAUAAUUAUUAUGUAAUUUAUCAUUAUUGUAAACAUUAUGUAUGAGUUUAUUUACCGAGUUGAUAGAUCACUCUUUAUUUCCAACAUUUUGUAGAUAGAUUUUAAAAAUAUAAGUUUUUUUAGUUUAGACAAAAAGAUUUGUUAGUUGAAAACUUGGAUAUUUUCUUUGAUGAAUAAAUUAUUGCUACUUCCGUUAUUGUUUACAAAUGAAUUUGUUUUGGAAGAAAAUCAGAGGGAAAAACAUCGUAACUGCAGCCAAGCUUUCCAUUUCAAAUGUAAUUGAGCAUCGAUUCAAUAGUCAAUAUUUUUCAUUUCAGCUGUCUUUUGGGGACAAACUUAAGCAAAAUCUUCCUUUUAAGUUUUUGGAUUGAGCAAGCCUUUUGUAGCUUUAAUUACAGUUUUGAUUAGAACUACAUUUUAGUUUUGUUCCUGCAUGUAUGGUUUGGCUGAAUUUGCAGUACAUAUAGAUGAAAUUUGCCUCGAGUGAGUUGUGCAUCAAUGUGAUUGUGAUCAAGUGACACUCUUUCUUUAAUAGCCAAUUCAGCACUUGAGCUACGUUCUCUUAUCCUUUAUUCAUUUUCCACCCACAAUUACUUCACUGAGAUUGGAUCAAUAAUGCCUCCGCGAAUUCAUUAACAGCAAGACUAUAUAAACUGUAAGGUAAAGAAAUUUAUACUAGCACGUCGCAACAGAGAAACAAAGAAAGAUCACUCUAUAUUCUCAAAGAAGAGCUAACACUAUCUUACAUUCAACUGUUGAUGCAACCAUUGGAGUUACAUCAAUAAUUGGAGUAGUCCAGAUAAGAUCGCUAAUGUUAAAAAUAAGUGGCUCAUAGAAAGACAAUGACCAGUAAUGAACAUAACUUAUUGGGUCCACUUCAAAAAGCAAUUGUUCAAUUUCCAUCAACUUUGUUUGAUAGGGUAGAUGUGGGAUGGAGAUUUGUGAAAAUAGCGGGGGCUGCAGAUACUAGAUGGAUUAAAGGAUCGAAAAUGAAUAAAGUGGAAAAAUCAAGAUAAGAUGGUUUGGUGGAUGCAUUUUUUGAAUUACAAACAAAAAAUACAAAAUUGAAUACUUCUUGGUUUCCACUUUUUUCAUAAAGGUAAAGAAUGUAAAAUUAACCUUCUCUCAUGAUAUUUCUCAUCGAAUUCCUCAAAAAUAAAAUAAAUUGUUGGAAAAAUAAUACCUACAUCCUUAAAAUUUUAAAAAAUUAUCAUUUAAACCUUAAAAUUUUCAAAAAAUAACACCAAAAUCUUUUAUUUAACUAUGAUACCUCUUGAAUAUACUGACUAAAAAAUUGACUUUAAAAAGUUUUAAUCAAUAUGAAUAUAAUAUAAAUAAUAAAAUCAAUGUAGUAGGCUAAUAAUAUUAAAGUAUUUUUAAUAUUUAAAAUAAUACUAAAAAUUUCAAAUUAUGAUAUUUAUUUUAAUCUUAUAUUUGUGUUUAUUAUAAAGCUUUUAAAUAAACUUUUGGGUUAAAAAGGUUUUAAAAUUAACAAAAUGUCUUCCUAUUAAUAAUAUUAAAAUUAUUUUUUAUAAUAUUUAAAAUAAUUUAAACUUUAAUUUAUUUAUUGUAAUAUUAUGUUUCUAUUUAUUAUUAAAAUUACUGUAAUAUGAUAAAAUAUGUAAAAUAAAUUGUAAAAUUUAAAAAUAUUUUCUUGCUUGUCAACAAAUGUUUUUUUUUCCCCGGAAACCAAAAUAAAAUUAUGUCAAUAUCAAUUCAUUAACAGAACAACCUUAGCUUUCUGAUGUUUAAUACUACUCUUGUUAACAUGAAUAUGUUAAUAAUAUUGAUUUUGAUGAUAACAAACUUUAAAUGGUUUUUGAUUAAAAUGUUGGAGCUAUUCCUUAAUAAAUGAAAGCCUUAUAAUCAUUCCAAUCAUAUUCAUAAAAGAUGGACUUUCAAAUUAGAAAAUGACUCUCUGCAAAAUCUGGUUUAAAAUGUGAUUAUGAAAAUAAACGGUGAUCGUUUUCUUUCAAACGGUUAACCAAUUAAAACCAGAGAGCAACAUAUUGCCUAAGCUCUAACCGAUUAUGAAAAACGGAAAACACAAAAAGCUGGGAAGGCUACUGGAAUUUAACGGUGAACCGUUUAUUUAAACGGUUAACCGAUAAAAUCCAGAAUUGAAGGUUGUACUCUUCUGGCACCGUUUAAUAAAACCGGAUAAGGCUAAAUUAUUUUGCAGGUUACUGGAAACAAACGGCGAACCGUUUAUUACAAACGGUUAAUCGAUAAUAUCCAGAGAAGUCACUUCAUGCAAAUCCUUAACCGUUUAAUGUAAACGGAUAACUGAUGUUCAUCUUGCAGGUCUUUGGAAUUUAACAGCGAAAGGAUAAUCCUAAACGGCAAACCGUUUAUUUGAAAUUUGGCCCAACGGUAACUUUUGACCAGCCUAAACGGUUAACCGUUAAUGGUUAACGGCGAACCAUUUUCGGGCCGACAGUUUGUAACGGCUAGUUUUUCAGCUCCAAAUAUAAAUAAGCUCAUUCAAAUUCAAACAAGAUUGAUCACAACAUGACUAUUGAGCUUAUACUCGAGAAUACAAUCUUCAUAGAGCUUUGAACACAUAUCUUCCCUUAUCUUUUUUUAUUGUGAUCACCUUAUUUGUUAUUGCUUUGAAUUUGGUUUAUAUUUGCAUUAAGUUUUUCUUCAUAAAUUGAAUAAUUUAUAGAAUUCCCAUUCACCCCCUCUUGGGUUGCAUAACUAGAAUUUCAACUCUUUCCUUGCCCAAAAAUUCAAAAAAAUUUAAUUAAUCCUGUUUCUGGGCCUGCGGCAGUUAUGCCAUUGAAGGGUAUUUGAUAUUAAAAUAAUUUUUUUAAUGAAAAAUUCUUUAAAUUAAAAUAGAAACAAUUGAUUUGAGCACCAUCAAUCAUGUCAUGGUAGUAAUUAAAUAAGAUAAAGAUUGGAUACCUCUUCUUUUCAAAAGGCAAGCGUCUUGGACUUUUCGCUAAAUGAACGCGUAUCAAUUUUUUGAGUUAAAAAUGAGCAAUAAUGUCGUAUUUGUGUAAUUUAGCCACAUCGCCAGUUCCUUGGCAUCUUCCCUUCAAAUUCUCCCAUGGCGUUUAAUUUUACACCAGUAACCACUUUGAGAUAGAACCAAUCCUUUUAAUAUUUCUUGGAGCAAAAAACAAUACCUCUGGGUGCUACAGAGAGAAGGAGAUAUGCUGGACGUCCACCUCCGACUGUUUUGUGAGAGGUUGGAGAGGGUGUUAGCAGGUGAAGAAGGCACGUUGCCGCUGCCAGAUUCAACAAAUUUAACUCCACUUUUUCAAAACCUUCUUACGGAGUCCGAAAUUAUUGCUACUACUCUUCUGGGAAACUAUGAAGCUGACAUGGCUCGGCUUUCUCCAGCAUUUAAACGGAGGAUGACCCUUCUUUCUACAAUGUUUGCAAGGUGGAUAGGAUUUCUUCUGAUUUUCAUUCUUUUCUUUUACAUUCGCAGAUGUUGUACUUGCCCCAUUUCCUUCAAAGUCCUUCUUCUUUGUUUUGUUUUUGGCCAUGUUCUGAUGUUUGGCUGCUAAAGCUCCUUCGGUUGUUGUAUCCCCCCUCAUCAGUCUUCUUUGUUCUGGUGCUUGUAAUGCGUUAAGCAAUUCUGCCAAGGAAAUCUUUGACAAAUCCUUGGUAUUUUCAAAGGUAGUGAUAGUUGCUUCAUAUCUUUCAGGUACUGUAACAAGAAUUUUUUGUACAAUUCUUGAGUCAGUAAAUUCAGAUCCAAGAAGCCUCACCUUGUUUGCAAUACUAAGAAGUCUGUCGGAGUAAUCUUUGAUCGUCUCGGAGUCCUUCAUUCUUUGAAGUUCAAACUCCCUGAUCAAAUUCAGGACUUGCAUACCUUUAAUUCUUUCAUCUCCUUCAUAUUCGCUCUUGAGAUAAUCCCAUAUCGCUUUUGCUGACUUCAAAGAGCUGGGCUUUCAGUGGUUGCAAUUCCCGACAGCCAUGGCUUUAAUAAGACUGCUUUUGCUGCACAUACUUAUAACAGUUAUCAUGUCAAGUUCUAUUUUGACUCUUACUUGGGUCAGGGUUUCUCUAGGCUAUGAUUACGGCAAGAUAUUGGAUGGCAUAAUCAAGUCUGUGAUGCCUCCAGCUCGGAUUAGUGUAAUUAUCGGUGAAGAUUAUCAAUUGAAGAAAUCUAUUCUUCGAGAUUACCUAACAAACAAGAAGUACUUUAUUGUGCUUGAUGUCGUCUUCAAUGACCGUGAGAUAUGGGAUGAUCUCGAAGAAGUUCUCCCUGAUAAUGAGAAUGGAAGCAGAGUAUUAAUAUUGGCCGCUGAUCCAGACCUCCUUGAGUCGUUGGAAAUGGAAAAUGGAGAGAAGAUUCGGCAUGGUUCAGUGCUCGUUGGAGGACCAUUGAUUAGACUAAAGCAUGAGGCCUGGCAAUUUUUCAUCCUGCACUAUGGAAGUAUGCCAUUAGAAAAUUAUCUUCAAAGCGAAGCGAUUCCGACAGUAUGGAGACAAAUUUUCUCUGUGAUGGAGUUACCUUUUCACUUGAAAGUCUGCUGCAUCUAUUUGUGUGUCUUCCGUCCAAGUAUUGAGAUAUCUACGAGGCAAUUAUAUCAGUUGUGGGUAGCUGAAGGUUUCAUGCCAUACAACGGUGAAGAAACUGCCGAACAUUACUUGAAAGAACUAAUCCAUUGCGGCUUCAUUCAAGUGAGUAAGCGAGGAGCCGGAGGCACAAUUAAAGCGUGUUAUGUUCCAAGUUUUGUAUAUACUUCAUUGGGUUUGGUGGCAGAGAAGACGAGAUUUGUCUGAAUGCCUGCAUGGGUAGGGGAAUCAAUUGAAAAUGCUAAACGGUGCUUCAUUUUGAAAGAUCUGAUUGACUUCUUUCCUUUAGAAUAUUCUAACAUGUAUCUCCAAUCUUUUCUGAAUCACAGUUCAGAAAGCGAUCGUCUCGCUCUGAUAGAUUGCGAGAAUUUUUGUAAAAAUUUCAAACACCUUCGGGUAUUGAAUUUGGGUUUUGCAGUUCUCGACCAAUUUCCACCCGGAUUAGAAAAUUUAUUCCUUUUGAAGUAUUUGAAAUUGAAUAUCCCUUCGCUCAAAUGCCUUCCUUCGCAACUAUGCACCUUUUUAAGCCUUCAAACACUAGAAAUGCCAUCUAGCUACAUAGAUCAGUCACCAGAGGAUAUUUGGAUGAUGCAAAAACUCAUGCAUCUAGACUUCUGAAAGAAAACGUAAACUCUACUGAUCUGUACUGUUUGGUUACUAAGAAAAUCUGCUCUGUUUUACUGAGAAAACUUCAGAGCAUAUACUGGUUUUUUUUAUUUCUUCUUUUAUGAAUUCUCAAAUGAGUACAAAGCACACCUUUUAUACAUUUGUUAACAGAAAGGAAAACUAAUCAGAAUAAAAUCUCAGCAAGCCUUAACUAACUUUGCUGAGCUGGCAUUGCUUACUUAACUAACUUCAGCUCAGCAAAUUCUCCCACGUGCUACGGUUCCAUCACUCUGCCUGCACAUCCAAAAAAUUAUUCCAGCUCUUUGAAGAAUCUCAUUUUCGUAUCAGCCUUACACCCUAUUAGUUGCACCCCAGCUAUAUUGGGUAGACUACCAAAUGUCCAAAGUCUAAGAAUAUCUGGAGAUUUGAGUUACUAUCAAUCUGGGCUUUCCAAAAGUCUAUGCGAACUGCACAAAAUUGAAUGCUUGAAGCUGGUGAAUGAGAGCAAGCGCUCACGGAUUAUCCUAUCUGAAUACCAAUUUCCUCCAAGUCUGAGCCAUCUGAGCUUAUCGAAUACUGGGCUAAUGGAGGAUCCCAUGCCAAUGCUGGAAAAGCUUCCACGCCUUCAAGUGCUGAAACUGAAGCAGAACUCGUAUUUAGGAAGAAAGCUGGCCUGCGUUGGCUCUGGUUGCUUUCCGGAACUUAAGGUUUUGCACCUGAAAUCAAUGUAUUGGCUAGAUGAGUGGACGAUGGGGGGAGGAGCAAUGCCAAAACUUGAAAGCUUAAUUGUCAACCCAUGUGCUUACCUGAGAAAGCUUCCAGAAGAGCUGUGGUGCAUAAAGAGCUUGCGCAAAUUGGAUUUACAUUGGCCUCAGACAGAGUUGAGACAAAGACUACGGACUUUCGAGGAUAUGGAGUGGCGGUAUGACAUCCAGUUAUAUCCUUACGGAAUCUGAUGGAUUGAAUUGGGUGAGUUUUAAUCUUAUCUGAUAUCUCAUACUUUAGUUGCCCUUUUUUUUCCACUUUCUCAGUAGAUCUAUGUUUAUUGUAAAACCUUCAAAGGGUCAUACAAAUGAAAAAUUCAUUUAUGAUUCUUAUUUCCCUUCACUUGUGUAGGCAAAAUCGGAGAGGGAAACAACAGGGCGUCGUUUCAUUUAGCAGAUUUCAAGGAUUUGCUAUAACUGAUGCGAUGGUUGCAAUAUUGUCUACAAACUUGAAUUGUUGUACUCCUUUUUCUAUUUUUCGAAUUUGCUGGCAUGUAUGUAUGUAUGUAUGUGUGUAUAUUGUGUUUUAGUUACUGUUUUAUGCUUAGAAGUACUCCAUUUAAGCCGCGGACCUGCAGGUAUGGUUUCGCUAGCUUUGGACUUGUAUGACUUGUAUGGCUAGUUUUGGACUUAUCAUUGUCUAAUAGAGCAUAUUUGCAGUUAUCUAAAAAAAAAAUUGUUAUUUUUUUAAAUAUAAUUGCAAUCUACAUACAUAUACAUCUAUAAUGCUGGUCUAAUUGUUCUUGUUUCUAAUGUCAAAAUUAUAGCCACGGACAUUGCUGCAGAGAAACAAAGAAACCUCUGUAUUGUAAUAAGUAAGAACAGUGUAAUAGCAGAUUUUCAUUUGUGAUUCUUAUUUUCUUGUACAUGUUUAGGUAAAAUCAGAGAGGGAAACAUCACCUGCCAGACCUUCAAUAGUUCAAUUUCAACUGUGAUUCAGCAUCCAUCAAUUCUUUCUUUGUUUCUGCUGUCAAUUCAUAAGUUCUCAUAAGGCUGGGCAUCUUUUUGUUCAGUAGAUUUCGACGACGCCAUGGCUACAGUAUUGUCCACAAACUUGAAUCAUUUUUUUUUUUUAAUUUAGUGGGUAUGUAUAUUGUAUUAUUUAUUUGUUGUGUGCUCAGAAGUACUGCAAGUUAAGCCCUGGAAAAUGUGAGAAGAAAAAGAAAUUAAACUAGAUUACACGAUAUUAGCAUAUUGUUCUUUGCUUGAACCAAGUUCUUCUUUGCUUUAGCUUUUGUUAAGAUGCUGUCUUAACCUUCCUCCUUUUUCUUAUUGCUAGUUUGAUAUCUCUUAUCUUUUCUUGAACCAAGAUAUUUCCCUUAACUUACAAGUAAAGUUCAAAUGCUCUUUCUCUUUUCUCUUAACUUCGGUUUACUUAUGCAAUCAUUUUCAAUUCUACCAAAACCAUCCAUUUAUCAAUACCCAAAUUGUUCUACAUUCUAAUUUUGUUGUGCCUUCCAACUUAUAUUUGAUUGUGUUGCUUAUAUCGUCCGAAUAUCGAAGUCCUUGAUUACUCAAUAUAACAACAGCAGGUACUUCAAUUAUUAUUCAAAAGUUAUAUUUCUUUUUUCAUUUUCAUGUGUCAAAAUCAUCACCACGCAUGCAAUUUAUUUUGUAAAAAUCAUCACUCACAUACUCCUCGUUUCUAAAUUACUUUUUUUAAAAGACCAAAGUUGAAUUAUGUCAUUAUAAACUCUUGAACAGAACAAUCAUCAUCCUUCAUAUUAAUGUUCUUUGUCAGACAGAACUAACAAUCCUUUAUCAUUUGUUGAUGGAGAUUUUCUGCAUUGAUCAACUUAAUAGUUAUGAAAACCAUCCCCUAACCCCAAAGCAACAAAAGAAUCUACAACCAAUCAGCAUAAAAUUAUGUACAACUAUACAUUUCUUAUUAAUUUAUGCAUGUAGUGAUGUUUUGAAUCAUAUCAGAGAAUCGUUUAUAUUUAUUAAGACUCAAUGUACAUGCACUUUGUAGUAUCGCCCAGAGAUCUGCCAAGCAUUAGCUUAGAAAUCUACUCUGUCCAAAUUCAAAGAAAUUAGCCUGGGUCAUAUUUAAAUAAAUAAAUAUAAGGCUGUUCUCAUCACAUUUGAACUUAUUUACAAGCAUAGCUCUUGAUAUUUAAAUAUAUAUAUAUAGCUGUUAAAUAGAUAAUAAGCAUAGAUCUUCACCUUUAGAUGGUUGCAAUAUUGUCUACAAAGUUGAAUAGUUGCACUCCUUUUCUAUUUUUUAUUUGCUGGUACGGCUUCAAUUGGCCUAUCUCCUCUCAUAAUAUUUCUUUCAUUCAUAACUAUUGGAUAAAGAUUAGAAUUUGAUCAAUGAAAAAAAGAUAAACAAUUACCAAUUCUAAUUGAAAUGCCAUUGUAUUUUCUUAAAUUUCAAUUUCUGGUUUGAGUUUGAUUUAUGUGAUGGGAAGUAGAUGGCUGUGGUUCAUUUUGUGGUUGUGAUUCAGUUUGUUGUUGUGUUGGUGACAAUGGUAUGGUUGAUGAGGAAUGUUCUGAUAUUGUAGUUUGAGAAUGCUCUUGUUGAUGCAGAUUAUUUGUGUGUGUAGAAACAGAAGGUACCUGUUCACUGCUCUCUGUACUUGCUGAUUGAAGAUCUUCCAAGCUGCUGUCAGUUAAGGAUAAUGUGGAGAGAUUAUAAAUUUGUUGCUGGGAAAAGUUUGACACUGAUAAUUCAGAAUUUGAACUGUUCUCAGAUGAAUGAAAUACUUUGUUAGUUGAGUAAGGGAAUGUAUUUUCAUCAAAGAUAACAUGCCUUAGGAUAUGAAUUUUUCCUGAACUUGUUAAACACUUGUAACCCUUGUAAGAAGGAUUAUAGCCAAUGAAGAUGCAUUUGGUGGUGUGAAAAUCAAAUUUGUGUUUAUUAAAAUCUCUCAUAUAUGGAUAACAUAGGCAACCAAAACACUUAAGAAAAGAAUAAUCUGGUUUGUGUUUAUAAAGCUUUUCAUAAGGAGAUAAAAGCUUAAGAACAGGUGUUGGUAACCUAUUAAUAUGAUAUGCUGCUGUGUGAACAGCUUCCCACCAAAACUGAAAAGGGAGACUAGCUUGAGCUAAGAGUGUCAAUGCUAAUUCAAUUAUGUGUCUGUGUUUCCUCUCAACAAGACCAUUCUGGUGAUGAGUAUAAGGGCAUGAAUGUCUAAACUUGAUCCCAUUUUGAUUGAGAAAAUCACUGAAUACUCUAAACUCUCCCCCCAGAUCAGAUUGCAAUUCCUUAAUCUUGGUAUUAAACUGAUUUUCAACUUGUGCCUUGAACAAUUUGAAGACUUCAAAUGCUUGUGAUUUAAGCUUAAGUGGAUAGAUCCAGGUGUAUUUAGUGUAAUCAUCCACAAAACUAAUGUAAUACUUGUAUCCAUUUCUGGAUACAGUGGGUGAAGAUCCCCACAAAUCAGUAUGAAUAAGUUCUAAUACCCCUUUUGUUUUUGUUUCAGUUGCUGGAAAACUUUGCCUGUGAACUUUGCCUAACUGACAUGCCUCACACAAAGAAUUUGUACAAUCCACAAUAUCUUUAUGAGAGAAUUUAAAUUGCUUGCAAGACUUAACUAAAUGCAUCAGAAUCAUUGAACUUGGAUGACCAAAUUUUCUAUGUAACAAAGUCAUUACAUCAGAUUUGGUUUUGCAUUUAUUAGAAACAUAAUGAUAACAAGCUUUAGAAGGACUAUCAAAGCUUUGAAAGCUAGACAACAUUGAGAUAGGUUUAUUUAGAUCCAUUUUUGGGAUCCAUUUUCUGUAAUUCUCUUUCCAUCUUGUAUUUUCUUCGUAUUUUAAUAAAUUUCCAUUUUGCCCCUAGUUCAAUUAUGAGUGGCUAAUUUUCUUUCAAGUUUGGGUUGAAGUUGAAGUCUCAACAUGUGUCAUGGGCUUUAUUUGGUAAAUUUAUUUUCUCUUCCCUUCUAGUUUUUGUGGAUGUUUUGACUUCUCGUCGACAAAUAAUAAUAGUCUUGUCUAGAUACCGCUUUGGUUAUACCGGCUCUCUAGUAUAAGGUUAUUAUUAUUUGGCACGAUAAGCCCUUAGCACCAUAUUGAUUUGAGCGUGGUUCAUGAGGUGUGGAUUCCCCCCUCAUGAUUUAAUUGGCAUUAAUAAGGAUUAUUUAGCCCAUGAUGCAUGUUGAUACGGAUCCAGAUACCCAAGUACGUCAUUUCAAUAGAAUUCUCUUCAAUUUAUUCUCGCCAUUUCAAUUCCAAUUUCAGAAUUUAUUCUUGCCAUUUUAAUUUAAGUUUUAGCAUAUUCCAAAUCAUUUCCACCACAGAUCCAAUCAACCAUUUGCAAAAUUAAUUCUAUACACAAUUAAAAUCCACCUCCUCGUGGGAUCGACACUCGUCACUAUUGAUCUAUACUACAAUAGAUUCGUGCGCUUGCGAGUACAUUAAAAUUUGCACAACACUUCCCACCAAAACUGAAAAGGGAGAUUAGCUUGAGCUAAUAGUGUCAAUGCUAAUUCAAUUAUGUGUCUAUGUUUCCUCUCAACAAGACCAUUCUGGUGAUGAGUAUAAGGGCAUGAAUGUCUAAACUUGAUCCCAUUUUGAUUGAGAAAAUCACUGAAUACUCUAAACUCUCCCCCCAGAUCAGAUUGCAAUUCCUUAAUCUUGGUAUUAAACUGAUUUUCAACUUGUGCCUUGAACAAUUUGAAGACUUCAAAUGCUUGUGAUUUAAGCUUAAGUGGAUAGAUCCAGGUGUAUCUAGUGCAGUCAUCCACAAAACUAAUGUAAUACUUGUAUCCAUUUCUGGAUACAGUGGGUGAGGGUCCCCACAAAUCAGUAUGAAUCAGUUCUAAUACUCCUUUUGUUUUUGUUUCAGAAGCUGGAAAACUUUGCCUGUGAACUUUGCCUAACUGACAUGCUUCACACAAAGAAUUUGUACAAUCCACAAUAUCUUUAUGAGAGAAUUUAAAUUGCUUGCAAGACUUANNNNNNNNNNNNNNNNNNNNNNNNNNNNNNNNNNNNNNNNNNNNNNNNNNNNNNNNNNNNNNNNNNNNNNNNNNNNNNNNNNNNNNNNNNNNNNNNNNUCAUUACAUCAGAUUUGGUUUUGCAUUUAUUGGAAACAGAAUGAUAACAAGCUUUAGAAGAACUAUCAAAGCUUUGAAAGCUAGACAACAUUGAGAUAGGUUUAUUUAGCUUGGUAUGAAGAUGGGAUGAAGAAAAUGAAGAAUAGGGAUUAGAACUCAACAGCAGCUUGUAUAGACCUUUUUCAGCAAGUCCCUGCAGCAGAACUUGUCCCUUCAUGUCCUUCACAAAACAAACAUUCCCACAAAAUUCAACAGUUAUAGGGUUAUCAGAUGUCAGUUUAGAAAUGCUUAGUAGAUUUUUGGUAAUUGAUGGAACAAGUAAUAUAUCCUUAAGUACUAUUCUGGAAUGUGCAGAUAAGGAAUUUGAUGCUCUUUGUGACAGAAAUCCAAAACCAACGUGAGUGAUAGACAAACCUUCACCAUUACCAAUUAUGAGCUGAUCAGUACCUUUAAACUCCUCACUGAUCUGCAAGUUCUCCAUGUUGUUGGUCAGAUGGUGAGUUGCCCCACUAUCCAAGUACCAUCCAUCAUCAGCAACUCCUUCAAAGUUAGCCAUAAAUGCUGCUCCAGGAGUACAAGCAUCAAAACCAGAAUAAUAGCUACUGCCAGACAUAGGAUUAUAAGCUGAAGACAUAUAAUUGAAGUUCUCAUAAUCUUCAAAGUUUGGAUUUGGAGCAGAACCAUCAAAAUUUGACAGAUAUGCUGAUCUGGGUGCUUUUCCUUUUCCAAAACCCCUUGGCAUUGGCACAUAAUCUUCAACAAAUCUAUGCCAACAGAUAUCAGUAGUAUGACCAGAUUUGAAACAAAUCUGACAUAUUGAGUCCACUGGAUUGUUAUUGAAAGCUCCUUAUGAUCCAUUCUUGAUAACAGAUGGUGAACUCCUUGGUGCUAAAGGAUUAUUACCAUUAAAAGGAUUACCAACAGGAUAUCCUCUACCAAAGCCACCUCUAAAACCUCCAUUAAACAUUCUUGGAGAAAGAUUCAUAUUUCCUCUACCAGAGAAAACAUUCCUACCACCAUAAUAACCUCCUCUCCUAAAAUUUCCUCUAGGCUGUGCAUAAUAAACCGUAUGAUGAAAUGAAUUAGUAUAGGCAUUAGUAUAUGCAUAGUUAGCAUUGAACAUACUCUUAUCAUCCUGAUCUUGUUCCAACCUAGUUUCAUGAGUAAGCAAUAACGCAUAAGCAUCAUCAAAUUCCAUGCGUGAACUAGUUAUGAAGGUAGUAAUAUCACGGUAUCCUGAUCCUAAUCCAUUGAGUAUGGUUAGCAUUAGAGAUUCCUUUUUAAGAGUGUUCAGCUCAUAUCUCAGCUGAAGAACUCGAGCUUCAGAUUGAACUCCAAACUUAUUUUCUAAUGUUUUCCAUACACCAGAUGAACUUUCACAGUUAAUAACAAGACUAAGGAUACCUUCACUUAAUGUUGACAGCAGCCAACUAUGUUGUUACUUGAAUAAGAAAAGAAAACAAAGUUUACAAAUGGAAAUGAAAGCCACGUGAAUUGUCAAGAGAACUUCACUCAAUUCAUUAACUGAAAACAUUACACUUUAAAGCUUAAAUAGCACACCAAAGCCAAAUAACAACCCACUAGAAUCAUGGUCCAAAGAUUGUGCCACGAUCACAGCAAGAAUCAACAAAAUAAAUAACCAACACCAGAAAAAUAGGAAAAGUUUGAAACAUUCAACAGAAGCAACUUCUAUGACUCCACAUCAGCAGUCCUAAACACAUCUUCUAACACUCCUCCUUGCUUUAGGAGCUGCAAACACCAAGUUUUGUUAUGAAAAACUCAAACUUGCUAACCGGCAGUGGCUUGGUGAAAACAUCUGCAACCUGAUCUUCUGUUUUGCAGUAGACAAGACUAACAACUCCAUUUUUCUGCACUUCUCUUAAGAAGAAUAAUUUAAUAUUAAAGUGCUUAGUUUUCCCGUGAAACACAGGAUUUUGAGAGAUUGCAAUAGCAGCUUGGUUGUCAACUAGAAUCUCUGUACUUUCCUCCUGCUCCAAGUUAAGAUCAUGAUAACUCUAUAAAAUGAGAGUUAUUAUGACAAUUCUAGACUUAAAUCAAGAUCACUUAGAGAGUAAAUGAUGUGUUUUUAUUGCAUUUUUGUUACAUUUUGCAUAAACAUUCAUUUUAGUUUAGUCUUAAUAAGUUUUGCUUGAUUUAAAGUAAUUCGUGCUCAAAUUGUGUGCAGAAUUGUAGGUUUCCAGAAGCUUAUAAUUCAUGGAAGAAAUGCUGAUGCAAUAGGCUGGCAAAAAAGAGGAAGAACAUGACUAUAAAAGAAUUGAAACAAAUCUGGAACAGUACAGUUGCUGUAGCCGUUGCUGUAGCAAUCCUGGAACAACGACAGAGAAAAUUCCGUGCGGGAUACUUACAGAAUUGCGAUCUGCAGUUUCCUAAUCUGACUUAUGCGUGCCCUAGGCUUCCGUUUACCUUAAUUUUCAACUAUAAAAGAAGCACACAUCAUAAGGAAAAGAGAGAGCCGUCACCCAAGGAGAAAAACACAAAGAAACAAAAGAAAAACAAGAUUCAAGAGAAAGAUUAAGGGCUGCACAAGAGGAGAAUUUGCAUAAAUCAAUUGGGAGCUCAAUCAUUCUUAUUCUUCUCUUGUUUUCAUGUUUUCUAUUUAUUCAUGGGGAUGUGUUUCAUGGCUGAAACUUUGUUCUUUAUUUUUCUUUUGCAAAUCAUGAACUAAAUUUAUUUAUAGUUGAGUGAUAAACAAUCUUGAUGGUUUAUUGACUGGAAAUAUGUGUUGCUGCAUGUUUGCUGUAGCAGUUUGUUUUGAUAGUAUUUAUUUUAUUCGUUAUUUCGGUUGAUCACCCAUUUAAUGAUAAUAGAUAAUGAAGAGUCGUAAAAGGGCCUAUCUUAGUGGAACAUAUCAGAACAAUACUUGAUCUUAAAUUGAGUUUCCCGGAUUGAGUUUUACUUGAGUCCCAAAAGGGCCAUACUUGAUUUAAGAUUAAUGAUGAACUAGACAUAAGGAUUCACCUUGUAGGGUAAAUAGAACCUAAGCGUGUAAUGCUAUAUCUUAUGUUGGCAUAACAACUGAUCACUGUUAGGUUGCAUAUAAAUAUAAGAUAUCCAACAUGUGACAGCUGAGGAUACAUAAGCUGAUCCAUCUUGGCUUCUUCAUAAUUUUUAGGUUCACACACAGCAACAUUGCAUCUUUGGUAAACAUCUGAAAGUGGUCUUGUGCCCCUAAUAGGUCUGUCAUCCACCGUUUCAUUUCCCAAUCUUCAAUGCUUUGAUCUGCUGUGUCCACAACAGGAAACUUGAGUUUUGGCUUUUUUGAGGUUGAAUCCAUCUUCUUUGCAUCAUCCCAAUUCCACUCUUCAUCUUCCAUAAAGUGCACAUCCCUGCUUAUAAUAAUUUUUCCAGUUUGUGGCUGGAAAACUUUAUAAGCUUUUGCAACAGGAAUUUCAUAGUCUUCUUCCACUGCUUCCCAAAGAUCCAAAGCUUCCAAGUAUGUCUCCAUACGUACUGCCCAAAGCUGGUAGUUGUUUCCGUCAAACACCGUCGGAGCAAUUGCGGAGAAACUAGCUUCGGCUUCCAUGACUUGACAAAUUCAAACAUAGAUCCCUUAAGAAGAAAGCUCUGAUACCAGAUGUUGUUACUUGAAUAAGAAAAGAAAACAAAGUUUACAAAUGGAAAUGAAAGCCACGUGAAUUGUCAAGAGAACUUCACUCAAUUCAUUAACUGAAAACAUUACACUUUAAAGCUUAAAUAACACACCAAAGCCAAAUAACAACCCACUAGAAUCAUGGUCCAAAGAUUGUGCCACGAUCACAGCAACUAAGAAGAAUUUGAUCAUGUGAUCUCCAGAUCUGAUACUCAGGAUUCUCAAUUUGUUGUGUAGAUCCAUCAACUCUAGCUAACAAAAUAUUUUCUUCAGGUGCUGAUUUGAUUCCAGUUAUGAAGUCUUCCAGUCGAUUACCUCUAAUCGAAGCUAGAACUUGUGAACGCUAGAGAAGGUAGUUUGAUCGAUCUAGUUUAAUUGGAUUCGUGAAAGAGAAAUUGAUUUGAGUGUGUUGAUUNNNNNNNNNNNNNNNNNNNNNNNNNNNNNNNNNNNNNNNNNNNNNNNNNNNNNNNNNNNNNNNNNNNNNNNNNNNNNNNNNNNNNNNNNNNNNNNNNNNNNNNNNNNNNNNNNNNNNNNNNNNNNNNNNNNNNNNNNNNNNNNNNNNNNNNNNNNNNNNNNNNNNNNNNNNNNNNNNNNNNNNNNNNNNNNNNNNNNNNNNNNNNNNNNNNNNNNNNNNNNNNNNNNNNNNNNNNNNNNNNNNNNNNNNNNNNNNNNNNNNNNNNNNNNNNNNNNNNNNNNNNNNNNNNNNNNNNNNNNNNNNNNNNNNNNNNNNNNNNNNNNNNNNNNNNNNNNNNNNNNNNNNNNNNNNNNNNNNNNNNNNNNNNNNNNNNNNNNNNNNNNNNNNNNNNNNNNNNNNNNNNNNNNNNNNNNNNNNNNNNNNNNNNNNNNNNNNNNNNNNNNNNNNNNNNNNNNNNNNNNNNNNNNNNNNNNNNNNNNNNNNNNNNNNNNNNNNNNNNNNNNNNNNNNNNNNNNNNNNNNNNNNNNNNNNNNNNNNNNNNNNNNNNNNNNNNNNNNNNNNNNNNNNNNNNNNNNNNNNNNNNNNNNNNNNNNNNNNNNNNNNNNNNNNNNNNNNNNNNNNNNNNNNNNNNNNNNNNNNNNNNNNNNNNNNNNNNNNNNNNNNNNNNNNNNNNNNNNNNNNNNNNNNNNNNNNNNNNNNNNNNNNNNNNNNNNNNNNNNNNNNNNNNNNNNNNNNNNNNNNNNNNNNNNNNNNNNNNNNNNNNNNNNNNNNNNNNNNNNNNNNNNNNNNNNNNNNNNNNNNNNNNNNNNNNNNNNNNNNNNNNNNNNNNNNNNNNNNNNNNNNNNNNNNNNNNNNNNNNNNNNNNNNNNNNNNNNNNNNNNNNNNNNNNNNNNNNNNNNNNNNNNNNNNNNNNNNNNNNNNNNNNNNNNNNNNNNNNNNNNNNNNNNNNNNNNNNNNNNNNNNNNNNNNNNNNNNNNNNNNNNNNNNNNNNNNNNNNNNNNNNNNNNNNNNNNNNNNNNNNNNNNNNNNNNNNNNNNNNNNNNNNNNNNNNNNNNNNNNNNNNNNNNNNNNNNNNNNNNNNNNNNNNNNNNNNNNNNNNNNNNNNNNNNNNNNNNNNNNNNNNNNNNNNNNNNNNNNNNNNNNNNNNNNNNNNNNNNNNNNNNNNNNNNNNNNNNNNNNNNNNNNNNNNNNNNNNNNNNNNNNNNNNNNNNNNNNNNNNNNNNNNNNNNNNNNNNNNNNNNNNNNNNNNNNNNNNNNNNNNNNNNNNNNNNNNNNNNNNNNNNNNNNNNNNNNNNNNNNNNNNNNNNNNNNNNNNNNNNNNNNNNNNNNNNNNNNNNNNNNNNNNNNNNNNNAUAUAUAUAUAGCUGUUAAAUAGAUAAUAAGCAUAGAUCUUCACCUUUAGAUGGUUGCAAUAUUGUCUACAAAGUUGAAUAGUUGCACUCCUUUUCUAUUUUUUAUUUGCUGGUACGGCUUCAAUUGGCCUAUCUCCUCUCAUAAUAUUUCUUUCAUUCAUAACUAUUGGAUAAAGAUUAGAAUUUGAUCAAUGAAAAAAAGAUAAACAAUUACCAAUUCUAAUUGAAAUGCCAUUGUAUUUUCUUAAACAUUCCAAAUAUCAUAAUUUUUUUUCCCUCUUACUUAUUUCUGAAGUUAUUUUCUUCCUGUUUCUAAUGUUUCUCUAAUUCUUAAUCCCUUAAUGAUGAGGCGAGAAAGAUUACGAAAGUGAAACUGAUUAAAACUAAAUAUAUAAAUAUUAGAAUCCAAACGUUCCGUGCCCAAAUCCUGUUAAAUAUGAAAUAUACAAAAUUAACAAGUUGAUCAUCAUGUAAAAAUCUUAUUUAACUCCUAGUUUCAUUACAAAAUCGUUCACAAGUUAAUUGAUAUCCGUAGUAGGUGAUAAAAGCUCAAGCUUUUUUAAUAAGGAAAGCUCAAAAGAAUUUCAUAAGAAAUCACAUACCAAUGAAAAUCAAUGCAGGGAAACAAUUGAGCUAUUUUCCUAGAGGGUAUAGCGCUGAUGACAAUCAGAAGAAUCACUUAAUUAACGUAAUGAAAUAGCAACGUAGUUUAGAUCUACAAUGCCACUUGCCACAUGAAAAUGUAUAUAAUCAUAAUUAAUUAGGGAAAAGGACGUUGUAAUGAUCUGAGUGAGUUGUGCAUCAAUGUGGUUGUGAUCAGGUGACGCUCUUCUUUAAUAGUCAAUUCAGCACUUGAGCUACGUUCUCUUAUCCUUUUUUUUUUUUUCACCCACAAUUACUUCACUGAGAUUGGAUCAAUAAUGCCUCAGCGAAUUCAUUAACAGGAAGACUGUAGGAACUGUAAGGUAAAGAAAUUUAUACUAAUACGCUGCAACGGAGAAACAAAUAAAGAUCCCUCUAUAUUCUCAAAAAAGAACUAACACUAUCUUACAUUCAACUGUUGAUGCAACCAUUGGAGUUACAUCAAUAAUUGGAGUAGUCCAGAUAGGAUUGCUAAUGCUCGAAACAAGUGGCUCUUAGAAAGAAUAGACAAUGACCAGUAAUGAACAUAACUCAAUGGGUCCACUUCAAAAAGCAAUUGUUCAAUUUCCAUCAACUUGUUUAAUAGGGUAGAUGUGGGAUGGAGAUUUCUAAAGAUUUUAAAUAAACCUUUAGGUUAAAAAGAUUUUAAAAUUAACAAAAUGUCUUUCUAUUAAUAAUAUUAAAAUUAUUUUUUUAUAAUAUUCAAAAUAAUUUAAACUUUACUUUAUUUAUUGCAAUAUUAUGUGUCUAUUUAUUAUUAAAAUUACUUUAAUAUGAUCAAAUAUAUAUGUAUAAUAAAUUGUAAAAUACAAAAAUAUUUUCUUGCUUGUCAACAAAUAUUUUUUUCCCCGAAAGCCAAAAUAAAAUUAUGUCAAUAUCAAUUCUUUAACAUAACAACCUUAGCUUUCUGAAGUCUAAUACUACUCUUUCCAUGCCCAAAAAUUCAAAAAAUUUUAAUUAAUCCUGUUACUGGGCUUGCGGCAGUUUCGCUAUUGAAGGCAAUUUGAUAUUAAAAUAUUUUUUAAUGAAAAAUUCUUUAAAUUAAACAAAUAAUUUAUCAUGAUUGGUCCUACGAUAAGCAGAUACACAAUCACUCUAAAUUGUAGUUUUGCAUCAUAUAUAUAUUUCGUAUAUUAACAAAAUUGAGGCUAAAUAAAUUUUGUCAAAUGAAAUUAACAAGAUAUUAAAUCAAAUAAAAUAUCUACAUGCCUCAAUAAAAUAUAUAAAUGAUAUGCCCAUAAGAUUCAAUAAAUGAUGGAUUAUUUUAAAAUUUAAAAUUCUGAAAAAUCGCCAAAAUUGAAAGGAUUUUGGACUAAAAUGACUGCUGUACCGUACAUCCGCCUUGGCCGUACAGCAGAAUAAUGCCUCAGUGAAUUCAUUAACAGGAAGACUGUAUGAACUGUAAGGUAAAGAAAUUUAUACUAAUACGCUGCAACGGAGAGACAAAUAAAGAAAUUCUCAAAAAAGAACUAACACUAUCUUACAUUCAACUGUUGAUGCAACCAUUGGAGUUACAUCAAUAAUUGGAGUAGUCCAGAUAGGAUUGCUAAUGCUCGAAACAAGUGGCUCUUAGAAAGAAUAGACAAUGACCAGUAAUGAACAUAACUCAAUGGGUCCACUUCAAAAAGCAAUUGUUCAAUUUCCAUCAACUUGUUUAAUAGGGUAGAUGUGGGAUGGAGAUUUCUAAAGAUUUUAAAUAAACCUUUAGGUUAAAAAGAUUUUAAAAUUAACAAAAUGUCUUUCUAUUAAUAAUAUUAAAAUUAUUUUUUUAUAAUAUUCAAAAUAAUUUAAACUUUACUUUAUUUAUUGCAAUAUUAUGUGUCUAUUUAUUAUUAAAAUUACUUUAAUAUGAUCAAAUAUAUAUGUAUAAUAAAUUGUAAAAUACAAAAAUAUUUUCUUGCUUGUCAACAAAUAUUUUUUUCCUCCAAAGCCAAAAUAAAAUUAUGUCAAUAUCAAUUCUUUAACAUAACAACCUUAGCUUUCUGAAGUCUAAUACUACUCUUUCCAUGCCCAAAAAUUCAAAAAAUUUUAAUUAAUCCUGUUACUGGGCUUGCGGCAGUUUCGCUAUUGAAGGCAAUUUGAUAUUAAAAUAUUUUUUAAUGAAAAAUUCUUUAAAUUAAAAAAGAAACAAUCGAUUUAACCACCAUCAAUCAUGUCGUGGUAGUAAUUAAAAUAAGAUAAAGGUUGGAUAUCUAUUGGAUACCUCUUCUUUUCAAAAGGCAAGCGUCUUGGACUUUUCGCUAAAUGAACGCGUAUCAGUUUUUUGAGUUAAAAAUGAGCAAUAAUGCCGUAUUUGUGGAAUUUAGCCACUUCGCCAGUUCCUUGGCAUCUUCCUUUCAAAUUCUCCCAUGGCGUUUAAUUUUACACCAGUAACCACUUUGAGAUAGAACCAAUCCUUUUAAUAUUUCUUGGAGCAAAAAACAAUACCUCUGGGUGCUACAGAGAGAAGGAGAUAUGCUGGACGUCCACCUCCGACUGUUUUGUGAGAGGUUGAAAAGGGUGUUAGCAGGUGAAGAAGGCAUGUUAACGUGGCCUGAUUCAACAAAUUUAACUCCACGUUUUCAAAACCUUCUUACGGAGUCCGAAAUUAUUGCUACUACUCUGUUGGGAAACUAUGAAGCUGACAUGGCUCGUCGUGUGAUUCAACGCAUCCUUAGAGACCUACCCGAUAAAAACGAAAUAGCUUUGUAUUUUCUGCAACUGUUGGACUUAGAAGAAAGCGAUGAAGACAGCGAGGAAGACAUUUUGGAAAUUCUGGAGGACAUCAAUCACCAUGUCAAUGAAUCUGAGGAAGCCAUUGACUCAUUCUUUAUCAACAUCAUGCAUCAGCAGAACAGUGAAAACGAAAGUGAAAGCAGUACUUGUAUGGCUAUUCUUGUUGGACUCCACAGUAAAAUCAUUGCUAUUAGAAAUCGGAUGCAACAACUUCCACCCGGCAACAAUGGUUUUGAUAUCAGUGAACAAAGGGAAAAACUCAUUCACUUAUUGACUGACGGACAACCUCGGCUUGAUAUCAAUGAAUUUGAAAGGGGCAGAGAGGAGUUGUUUGAUUUAUUGAUUGAAGGACAUCCUCGGCUUGCAGUGGGGCAGAGAGGAGUUGUUUGAUUUUGUUUGAUUUAUUGAUUGAAGGACAUCCUCGGCUUGCAGUGGUUGCAAUUGCCGACAGCAGUGGCUUCGAUAAGACUGCUUUUGCUGCUGAUACUUAUAACAAUAAUCAUGUCAAGUUCUAUUUUGACUGUCUUGCUUGGGUCAGGGUUUCUGUAUUCUACCAUUUUGGCAAGAUAUUGGAUGACAUAAUCAAGUCUGUUAUGCCUCCAUCUCGGGUUAGUGUAAUUAUCGGGGAAGAUUAUCAAUUGAAGAAAUCUAUUCUUCGAGAUUACCUAACAAACAGGAAGUACUUUAUUGUGCUUGAUGAUGUCUUCGAUGACAGUGAGAUAUGGAGUGAUCUUGAAGAAGUUCUUCCUGAUAAUCAGAAUGGAAGCAGAGUAUUGAUAUUGGUCACUGAUCCACACCUCCUUACGCUGUCGGAAAUGGAAAACGGAGAGAAGAUUCGGCUUGAUUCGGUGCUCAUUGGAGGACCAUUGAUCAGAUUAAAGCAUGAAGCCUGGCAAUUUUUCAUCCUACACUAUGGAAGUAUGCCCUUAGAAAAUUAUCUUCAAGGCGAAACGAUUCCGACAAUUUUGAGUCGAAUUUGUUCUGUGUUGGAGUUACCUUUUCACUUGAAAAUCUGCUGCAUUUAUUUGUGUGUUUUCCCUCCAAGUAUUGAGAUAUCUACUAGGCAAUUAUAUCAGUUGUGGGAAGCUGAAGGUUUCAUACCAUACAACAGUGAGGAAACUGCAGAACAUCACUUAAAAGAACUAAUCCGUCGCGGCUUCAUUCAAGUGAGUAAGAGAAGAGCCGGAGGCACAAUUAAAUCGUGUUAUUUUCCAAGUAUUGUAGAUACUUCAUUGUUUUUGGUGGCAGAGAAGACGGAAUUUGUCUGGUCGCCUGACAUGGUAGAGGAACCAAUGGCAAAUGUUAAACGGUGCUUCAUUUUGAAAGAUCUGAUUGACUUCUUUCCUUCAGAAUAUUCUGACAUGUAUCUCCAAUCUUUUCUCAAUCACAGUUCAGAAAGCGAUCGUCUCGCUCGGAUAGAUUGCGAGAAUUUUUGUAAAAAGUUCAAAUACCUUCGGGUAUUGGACUUGGGUUCUGCAGUUCUCGACCAAUUUCCACCCGGAUUAGAAAAUUUAUUCCUUUUGAAGUAUUUGAAAUUGAAUAUCCCUUCGCUCAAAUGCCUUCCUUCGCAGCUAUGCACCCUUUUAAACCUUCAAACACUACAAAUGCCAUCUAGCUACAUAGAUCAGUCACCAGAGGAUAUUUGGAUGAUGCAAAAACUCAUGCAACUAAACUUCGGUUCCAUCACUCUGCCUGCACCUCCAACAAAUUAUUCCAGCUCUUUGAAGAAUCUUAUUUUCAUAUCAGCCUUACACCCUAUUAGUUGCACUCCAGAUAUAUUGGGCAGAUUACCAAAUAUUCAAACUCUUAGAAUAUCUGGAGAUUUGAGUUAUGAUCAAUCUAGGGUUUCCAAAAGCCUAUGCGAACUACAAAAACUUGAAUGGUUGAAGCUGGUGAAUGAAAGCAAGCCCUCACGAAUGGUCCUGUCUGAAUACCAGUUUCCUCCAAGUCUGACCCAUCUGAGCUUAUCAAAUACUGAGCUAAAGGAGGAUCCCAUGCCAACGCUAGAAAAGCUUCCAUACGUUCAAGUGCUGAAACUGAAGCAGAACUCCUAUUUAGGAAGAAAGCUGGCCUGCGUUGGCUCUGGUGGCUUUCCGGAACUUAAGGUUUUGCACCUGAAAUCAAUGUAUUGGCUAGAUGAGUGGACGAUGGGGGCUGGAGCAAUUCCAAAACUUGAAAGCUUAAUUGUCGACCCAUGUGCUUACUUGAGAAAGCUUCCAGAAGAGCUGUGGUGCAUACAGAGCUUGCGCAAAUUGGAUUUACAUUGGCCUCAGACAGAGUUGAGACAAAGACUACGGACUUUCGAGGAUAUGGAGUGGCGGUAUGACAUCCAGUUAUAUCCUUAUGGAAUCUGAUGGAUUGAAUUGGGUGAGUUUUAAUCUUAUCAGACAACUCAUUCUUUUAUAUGCAAUUUUUUUUUAUGUUUAUCGUAAAACCUACAAGGAGGUCAUAAAAAUGCCAAACUAAUUGAGGUUGCUUCUGAUGUCAAAAUUAUGUCUCAACAUAGACUCAGUUUGACUGGCAAAACAGAGUGGGAUAGCCACACAUUGCAGCAGAGAAACAAAGAAAGAUCCCUUUAUAUAUAUCUAAUAAGAACUGUAAAAGCAGAUUUUAAUUUGUGAUUCUUAUUUCCCUUUACUUAUGUAGGCAAAACUGGAGAGGGAAACAACACCAGCCGGACUUUCAAUUUCAUGAGACGGGGCAUUGUUCUAUUUAGCAGAUUUCAAGGAUUUGCUUUAAUAUGCCAUGGUUGCAAUAUUGUCUAGAAACUUGAAUAGUUGCACUCCUUUUUCUAUUUUGAAUUUGCUGGUAUGUUUGUAGGGGCGUGUGCGUGUGUGUUGAGUUUUGAUUAAUGUAUUAUGCUUCGAUGUACUCCAUUUAAGCCCCGGACUUGCCGGUAUGGUUUGGAUAGCUUUGGAUUUGCAUGGUUUGCUAGUUAGAGAAAUGGUUUGCUAGUUAUAGAAAUAUCAAUCUUACUAGGAAAACUACCUCAUGCGUGUACGUUUCUGGCUUCAUUUUAGUUGCUGAUUGCACCUUCAAUUACAUUAGAGUAUAUGGAGUAAAAAAAAAAAGUUAAAUUAUUGGCUGAUUUUUAAGAUACUUUCAAGUUUGGCCCAUACCUCAAUUGUCAGAAAGUAUAUGGAGUAAAAAAAAAAAGGUUGGGUGUAAAUAAGUGAUAUACAGAUGUAAGGCUUCUUUGAUCACAUUUGAAGUUAAUUACAAGCAUAUCUCUUGAUAUUUAAGUAAAUAAAAAAAAUAGAAUAUUGGCUGUUGAAUAGAUAAUAAGCAUAGAUCUUGACUUUUGAAUUAAUUACAAAAAUUUUAGUGAACAGAAGAAAUCCAUUUGUUCCACCGAUUACAUUGAGGAUUUUAAUGAAUCCCAAUCUUAGGUAACAUGCUAAUGCUAACAGUAAUGGCAAGAUAUCAAAUGUCGGAGAUAAGAGACUAUUAGCUUUAAGCGAACCAACAGAGAUUGACAAGUUAGAAAUAACUUGCUAAGUUGAGAAAUACGCCUGACAAAUAAUAUGAUUUUCCCAAAUAAAUUAGGUUUUAAUUUAACAAGUUUUCAUUUACAAAUGCAUUUUAAUCCAAUGAUUUAUCACAAUGUCCCACCAAACUGAACAAAGAAAGAAAGAUAUAAUACAAUUACAAGUUUCCUAAUUAAGCUAUAUGAUUAUGAAUUAAAGCGAAUACUAUUGACUUGACGAACCACUUUUUGUGUUUCUUUAUAAGUACGUAUAUGUACCAACAAAAUUCUUCUUAAAACAAAAAAAAAAUUCUCUCUUUAAAUUUGUAAAUAUUCAUUUACCAAUAAAUUAAUAAAUUAUUCAUUCAAUAAUAAAUAAAUACUCCUCUAAAAUAAUAUCUUUUCGUAGUCCUAAUAAUAUUAUUUUAUAGAUACUUUCUACAUUUAUUGUGCAAUAAUUAAAAAAAUUUAUAUUUUUUAAAAAUAUAAUUACAAUCCAGAUACAUAUAUAUUUAUAAUACAACUCUGAAAUAUAUCAAGACUAGUUAGAAAAUCUACUUCCACUAAUAAUAUUAUUAAGGAGAAAUUAGCCCUAUUCCACGUUUUUACAAUUUGAUUUAAUAUAAAUUUUGUUCAAGAAAUUUAUCUUUUUUAAGAAAAUAUUUGAUUAACAAAUUAUUAUUAUUAUAGCGAAAAUAAAAAAGCAGCGGCAGAAGAAGGCUCUAACAACAAAAUGAAACAUUUACAUUUUUCAUUUCCCAAAACCCUUCGCUCUCUCACUCAGGACACUCACUGAUGCGCAAGCAAUGGCUCGCACUGCCAUCCUCUGCCUCCGCUGGUCAUUACCGGCCAUCGUUGCUCUUCGCCGCUCUCUCUCUGCGGCCGUCCCUGCACUCUCCGCAUCCACUCCUCUCGUAAACCCCUCCAUUUCAUCGGCAUCGUCAUCAGUAAUCUCCUCCUCCUCCUCCUCCAUCAUCCAAUCUCGACUGUGGUUUAUCAACUUCAGGUACAUGUACCUUGAUGUAUGUACCAUCUAAUGCCCUAAAGCAAUUCUAUUAAUCGAUUCAAACAAAAAAAAAUUAUAAUAUAAAAUGGCAAGCUCUCUUUAUUAGAAGAGAAAAUAAAAAUCAAGAAUUUAAGCAUGUCAUUCCUUAAAUCAUUUCCAUCUCUCUCGUCAGUGCAGUUUUACUUACAGGGUCAGGUGUUCUUAAUAAGAUAUUUUCCAAUUGUAAAACUGCAUUUAAGACCAAGUUGAAGUAUCUACUAAUUGUCUCCCCCAAACAUAGAAAUCUACUAUGAAUUGUUCUGUUUUUUUACAUGAUGGGCAAGUAUAUGUAGAAACAUGCAUACUUGUUCCUCAACAGAGACUAUACCAUCAGCCUUCAACCCCCAUUUAUACGAAGUAGCUCACAUAAUAAUUCGAAUGUUCUCUUAUCCAUCAUAGUUGAUUCACAUAUUCUAUGUCACUGCCUAAGAUAAUUUCUAUAUAAAUGAGGCGUGUUGCAUGCCUAAUGAAUGUGCGAUUUGCAACUGUAUAUUUUUUGUUUUGUCGACUUUUGUGUUGCCAAAGUACAGCAGCCAAUACACACAAGCACAAUUGUUGUAAACGGAACUCGUGUAUAAGAGAGAACAAUGUAAUUUCUCUUUCAUCCAUAUCCAGUCAUUGAAGGUAUACGGUGUGAGCAUAUCAUAUGAAUAUUAAAGUAAGUGAAGUAAAUAUCAACAUAAAGAAUUAUGAUAACUGGACAGAUAAAGAACUCAUUGAGAUACAUUUCAUGUGAACAAGUUAUUAGCUCAGUUCCAAGAAACUUAUAAAGCAACAGUUUUCUUUUCAAAAUAUUUAAGUCUUAUCAACAUAAGAGACAAAGUUUAAUUAUUGUAUUCUUAAAAGCAUAAUGAUAAAGUUCUAUUUAAUAGCUAGAAAUAAAGUAAAUUCACUAUAGACAAGAACAAAUUUCUAGAAUUGCUACCUUUUUUUUCAAAUAAAAGAAAUUCACUAAAGAACAAAAUGACGAGAUCCAACUUUAACCAAAAAGCAAAUCACAUAAGCUAACUAAGAAUCUGCACCAUAUGGCUAGAAAUUGACAGCUGGGUUUGCUAGCUUAUUAACAAUGCCAUUACCGUAUCCCAAAAAAUAAAAGAAAUUCUACAUAAAUGUCUCUUUUCAAUUCAUCCCGAGUUUUAGUCAAAACCCAAAAAAUUUCCUUCAUGAAGCUACUCUUUCCAAUGAACAAAUCCAUAAAAUAGUUCACUCAACACAAACAAUUAACCCUUUCCAAAAAAAAAAACACAAACAAUUAACAAAAUUGAUUUAUAACAUGAAAAUUAAAAUAGACAAUAAGAAACACUCAACUGCCAUAUAAAACAUGAAAAUUUCAUCCUAUUAAAUAAUUACAACAAAUAAAUAAACAAAUAAACUUAAUUGAAUUUUUUAGUCAAGAUUUGAGGAGAUUCACUGCAUGAACAAAGGAGAUGGAGAGAAAUUUUAGGGCUUUUUUUUUGGGUGAAAGCCCAUUUAGUCCAUGUAUUUUAAGAUUAGUGACCAUUUAGUCCUUUUAUUUUUAAAAAUGUCUCGAAACAUCCCUGCUGUUAAAGUAUUAAUACCCCUACCGUUACUUUUUAUUUCUUUUGGCUUACUUUUACAAUAUUAACCUUUUAUAAUAAUUUUUUUGUUUGGACAUUAAUAAAAAGAAAAUAAUUAAAUUACCAAAUUAACCAUAAAAAUGAAAAUUAAAAAUUUAUAUUAAUUUUUAACUGUCAAAAAUUGCAUGCAAACUACCAAGUGUGCAAAUGGUGCUUGCAAAAAAAUUAAUAUAAAUUUUAUUUUUUAUUUUUAGGGUUAAAUUAGUAAUUUAAUUUUUUUAUUAAUGUCCGAAAAAAUUAUUAUAAAAGGGUAAUAUUAUAAAAGUAAGUCAAAAGAAAUAAAAAGUAACAGUAGGGAUAUAAAUACUUUAACGAAAGGGAUGUUUUGAGGCAUUUUUAAAAAUAUAGGGACUAAAUAGACACUAAUAUUAAAAUAAAAUGACUAAAUAAACUUUUACCCUACUUUUUUUUUAAUCCUGUGAAUAGCCUAUGGCUAAAUUUUAGAUUAUCCCACGCCCCCUGGUUAUAAAAAUUAAAGUAGUGACAGUUAUAAUGCAUCUUCGCUUUAACAAUUGUGAGUAUGGGUUGUAAAUUUGCUUUCUAUCUAAUUAUGCUUUUGGCAUAUGCGCCUAAAUAUACACGUCAGGAAAUUGAAUUGUAUGUUUUUUACAAUAACUCUUUUUUUUUUUUUUGAAGGGAAAGUAAAGCUUUCCAUUAAACUGACUUUGAAAACAACAGCAAAAUAUUGUAUGGAAAAUUUUCCAGCCACAGAGCAGGUCUUUCAAAACUUAAAGCUAAUUUAGCUAAUGAAUCAACUAAAGCAUUACAAGCUCUCGGGACAUAUUGAAUUCUCGAGGGAUUUUGGUUUUUUGAAAACAACUGAAUGUCAGCAAUUGUCCAGGCUAUCUCUGUUAAGCUACCCUUUCUGUUGAUAGAUAGCUCCACCACCUCUGAUGAAUCUGAUUCAAUAAUCAUAGGCCUACAGUUUACUUGAAAAGCAUUUUGAAUACCAAAGAGGACAGCCUCAGCCUCCAUAUCAACCACAGAACCCUCAUAUAGAACUCUCUUAACAGCUGCAGCUAUGAUCUUUCCCCUGGAAUUCCUUAUCACUACCCCCAGACCCGCCUGCUGGGCUGAAGUAUUUAUUGCAGCAUCCACAUUCACUUUGUACCAACCUUCUGGGGGGCCCAUCCAAGUCUGAAUCUUUUUCCUGGGAGUCUUUAAGGUAGCUUGAUCCUUCGAGCAUUUUAUCCUCUUGUACGAUUCCACUAUGGCUUCUGCUCUUGCAACUGGUAAGAGGGGGUCCUCUUGUUUCCCCUUAAAAAUUUGGAUAUUUCUUGAAUGCUAGAUAGCCCAACAGAUUGCAGCUACCAUCUCCCUGCCUUCUUUGCUUCUUUUCAAAGCUACUUCUUGGAUCAUGCUUAAGAUAUCUUGUUGAGCCAUCAUCUUUAUAUCUUCGUAAAAUUCUGUCUUUUUCCAAACUCUUCUAGUAGCCUUACAUUCCAGUAAAGCAUGGACCACAUCUUCUCUCCUACACCCACAUCUUACGCACACUGGCUCCACCACAAUUUUCCUUUUCCAUAAGUUACUUGCUGUUGGCAGCAGAUUUUUGAUAGCCUUCCACAUAAAUAUUUUCACCUUUUCUGGAAGCUCGUCGGACCAAAAGACAUCCCAUCGUGAUUUGGAGCUAUCAGAACAACUUGGGACUUCUUUGAAUUUUUCCUUCACAUCUAUUUGGUAACCACUCAUAGCUGAGUAUUUCCCAUGCUUAUCAAACCGCCAUAUUAGAGCAUCUGGUUGAGGAGUUCCUCGGGAGAGGUAGUUUUAAAAUUUCUGCUGAAAUGUCCUCUGAGAAACUUUGAGCUAUUAGAUCUCCAUUCCAUUGCUGGCCAUCCUUUAUCAGAUCCGCCACAACAGCUUCAGGAUGUAGACUUGACCAAGGGACUAGUCUGAAAACACUAUUCUGAAUCCAAUUUUUGUUGUGCACUGAGAUUUGCUUCCCGUUCCCAAUCCUCCACCUCAAUCCCUCUUUUAGCAGUUGGGGAAGCACCGCUUGAGCCACCGCUUUUAUAAGAACUUCCUUCCCCCCACUGGAAAAAUAUUGUCUCUGCCAGCUAGAUAAUUUGCUCAACACUCGUAGCUUUAUGUCAUUAAAGAACCUAGUUUUUGCUCUCUCCACCAUAAAAGGAAGUCCAAGAUAUUUCUUAUGCUUGGACACUACAGCCAAAUCAAAAAUGCUGCUUAUUUCCUCCCUCAGCUGCUGACUUGUGCUAGAACUGAAAAACAUAGAGGACUUUUCAUAAUUGAAAAUCUACCUUGAGGCUACAGUGUAACAGUCAAAAACUUUCUUUAGCUCUCUGCGCUCAGCAUUAGAAGCUCUUAUGAACACUAGGCUGUCAUCUGCGAACAAAAGAUGAGUGACCAAAAUCUCUCUUCUGAAUUUCAAACCGUGAAAGAGGUUUUGACCUUCUGCUCUUACCAGUAAAUUUGAGAAUACUUCAGCACACAUAAUGAACAGGUAUGGCGAAAGCGGACAUUCUUGUCUUAAUCCACGUUGAGGAUGGAUGAGACCUUUUGCCAAUUCAUUUAUCAAGACUGAAAAGCUAGCUGUGGAUAUGCAAUUCAUAACCAAAUUCACCCACCUCACCGAAAAACCUAGCUUUUCCAUUGUUCCUUUAACAAAACUCUACUCCACCCUGUCAUAGGCCUUACUAAUGUCUAAUUUCAGAGCUAUCAAUCCAUUUCUGUCUAAUUUUGUUUAGACACUCAUAUCUUAUGAUUAUGUUAUCAGUUAUGAGCCUAUUAGGAAAUAAAGCACUUUGAUUGGGAGAUAUAAUAUCAUUCAGAACUAUUAGCUAUUGUUUUUCGACAAUUCUGUAAAUGACAUUACAAAGACUAAUUGGUCUUAACUCUGUCACUUUCCUAAGCUUUGACACUUUCGGGACUAAAGCAAUAAAAGUUUGGUUCAAAAGAGUAAGAUUACCUCCCUCAUUUAGGAUGUGCAGACAUGUUGAAACCACCCCCUCAUUGACAGAGCUCCAAUGCUUUUGGAAGAAGGCCACCGGAAGACCAUCUGGACCUGGUGCCUUUGUGGGACAGAUGGGCUUGAUGUGGUGAAAAUAUUUGUAAAAUAUUUUCACUACCUCGACAUCUUCAAUCCAAUCACCAUUUUCGUCUUCAAUGCCAUGGAUUCUGUUUUUUUUUUCCUCCUAGCCGAAGCCUUUGUAUGGAAAUAUUUUGUGUUCCUAUCACCCUCUUUCAGCCAAUCCACUCUCGAUCUUUGCUUCCAAAAAAUUUCUUCAUCAGCUAGAAUAUUAUCUAUCUAAUUUUCAACUCGUUUUAAUUCAUCUCCACUUUCAAAAUGAUAGUAAUCUUUUUUCAUGCUUUCCAGCUUGUUAACAAGUUUCUCCAGCUUCUUUUUCCUUCCAUUAAAUUCUCCAUUGCUCCAAAGUUUCAGCUCAGCCAAGGUUUCUUUCGAUUUUUUCAUGAAGAUUUCAGCCGGGUUGCUACUAUUCCAGCAACAUUGCUCCUUCCAUUCAUGCUUCACAAUUGUCUUGCACUUCUCGUACGGGCUCCACAUAUCUUCAUAAUGGAGCCUAGGAUAUGUUCUCUUCAUGUAGCCCUUGCCCCUGCCUUUCUCCAGCACUUCCAUCAUAAUCGAAAUGUGGUUCGAACUCCACGAAGUCAAAUUCGAAGCUACCUUUUCCUAAUAAAAGCUUCCCCAUUUUCUGUUGCACAAGAAUCUAUCGAGUUUCUCUUCGAUUAUGUGAGGCCCAAACCUCCUAUUUGAUCAAGUGAAAGGGUAUCCGCUACUUCCCAAAUCUUUCAAAUCACAGUCCCUCAUUGCUCUCCUAAACUCAUUCACCUCAUUUACCCGUUUCUCAUUUCCCCCAAUCUUCUCAUUUAAGUUCAACAUUUCAUUAAAAUCCCCAAAACACAGCCAUGGUAAUGAAGACAACUUUGUUAUCCUUCUCAACAGCUCCCAAGUGUGUUUUUUUUGUCAGAUUCAGGAUGUCCGUAAACCCCCGUGCACAUCCAAUAGCUUCCAUUUUCGCUAUGCACCACGGCAUCAACAUGGUGUUUACUGUAAGACUUGAUAUCAAUUGUAACCUCUUCAUUCCACAAUAAAGCCAAACCGCCCCCCCAAACCUUCUCUAUUAACUGCAAAGUAGUUUUGAUACCUCAACCUUUUUGCUUUCUCUUGCAUUUGCUUAACCUUCAAUUUAGUUUCAUAGAUGAACAUAAUUUCAGGCCUAUGCUCACACAAGAGUUGCUGGGCUUCUCAGAACGUUCGGUCAUUUCUCAGCCCCUGAACGUUCCAGCUAACGAUUUUCAUGGCUGUCAGCGAGGCUGUUUCACAGCCACCGCCGAUUUCUCAUUUCCAGCAUUCUCAAACUCCCCCUUGUCUUCCUCUUCCACAUUUUCAAAGCUGAGCCCCUUUGUUGCCAAGGCUUUUCCAAACCGUUGGUUGCUCCCCAUUUUUUGUGGGCUGUUCCCUUUGCACUUUUUUGGUUUUGGGCUUUCCCAGUUCAUUGAGCUUCUCAACCUUUUUAAUCCCAAAACUUCUUCAUUUGUUUCUAUAUUCCCUUCCACGUUGCGGGCUUGAAAUUUCCACGUUGCGGGCUUGAAAUUUCCACUUCUUUUUCUAUAUUCCCUUCCACGUUGCGGGCUUGAAAUUUCCACUUCUUUUUCUUGGGCUUUGAUUUAUCCAUUCUGAGCCCAUUCUCUCUAUUCUCCACUUCUGAUUUCGUUUGGAGUGAACACGUAUACAUGUUGAGCUUGUGGCCCCCCUCUUCUAUACUGCCUUUCCUUCCAUUUUCUUCUUGCUCCCCUUUUCCCGCUCUAUAUAAGCCCGCAUUUUGCAUUUUUACUGACUUUUUAUGUUGGAGGUUCGCUUCCCACUCUUUUUCUUUUCCAUCUAUAGUUCUUGCCUCCUUGUCCAUCUCCCACAGCACUGCACCUCCAUCUGCUUGAUUUUUACUGACAUUACAGCUGGCCGCUGGCUCUGCAGUCUUUUUUGCCUCUUUCAUUAAUUGUUCCCCAGUUCCCAAUUGAUCCCUGCUCCUCGUUCCACUCAAACUCCCCAUACCUGAAUCCAAUUCGGGCCUAUUGAGUCCAUAUUCUAUUUCAUGAACCCCUCCGUUUUGUUGGUCUUUCUCCAUCAUAUCAUUUUCUCCAGCCCUUUUAUUGGAUCUAAAGCAUUUGGAGGAUUGUUUCUGAAAUCUGAAUCCCAUCUAUCUUUCCUUCUACCCUGUUUCAAUUUCUCAGUAAUCGUGAGUGCCUUAAGCCAUGGACCAUACGGCAUUUCAUCCUUGGACUGAGAUUUAUAGUGGACACACUCUCUGUAUUAGUGACCUAUCCGCCCGCAACAGAAACAAAAAUCCAGCAGUCUUUCGUACAUGACCCGCAUAGGAAUGUCUUCCUCAUCCUCCCCUUUUUGCUCUAGCUCAAUUAGUUUCUUUAAAGGCUUCGUGACAUCCACAGAAAUUCUCAACCUCAAAAAUUGUCCAAAGCAUUCCCCAGUUGCAUCUGUUUCAAUUUCUUCAACUUUUCCAAUGACAUUUCCUAGCUCCAAUGCCAUCUCCUUUGACAUACACAUGAUGGGGAUAUUGUGUAUCUGCACCCAGAAUGAUACGUGAUUGAAUUUCUACUUCUUUACAUCACCAAUUCCCGCUGGUUCGGUGAGCACAAUGAGUGCUCUGUCAAAAUGCCAAGGGCCACCCGCCUCAGUUCCAAACUUAAACAUGAACACAUUAUCACCCAGAUCUUCUAUCUUUACUUCGCGUGAGGUUCUCCAUUCCCUUUGCAUAACAGACUUCAACCCCUCAAUACUGACUCCCCUCGUAUGCAGAACUUUCCCGAUCAAACACCCCGCAACUAUUUUUUCCCCAAUGGCCUUCAUUUGACUCUUGAAAGAAACUCUUCCCUCCUCUUCAUCACUCAACUUUAUCGCUCUACAUCUUCUGAUUAGCUCCUCUGGGUCCAUCCUCUCUAACUCACAGACUUGCAGGCUAGAAAGGAUUAGCUGGGAGCUUGGAGCCUUUAAGGAUUUGACUUUUGAAAGAGAAUUUCACCAACUACUCAACACUCUUUCACAGAUUGACUGACCUAAAUCCCGUACAUCAUUAAAUAAUGAAAGUGAUAAAAACAAUAGGAAGAAAACCCACCCCCAUCAGAGUGACUUAAAGGAGCCAUGACACCUCUAUUUUUCCUCUCAUCGUUGUAAGUUUUCAGAGAAAACUCAUAAGGAGAGAGACUGACAACUCAAACCUUAGUUCACAACAACUCUUAAAUACAUGGAUCCAUAUCUUUCUAUUUUCAAAAUGGUUGUGGAAAAGUAAAACUGUGUUACUCUCUCUUGGCAUUGGGCUAAUUCUCCGUGAGAAUCUUGAAAUAAAGUUAACUUUUAUAACUAGAGGGAGGACCAACUUCUUUUAUAAUUAAAAUAUUUAAUGUAAUAAAAUGUAUAAAUAUAUCUAAUAUGGGCUUAAUAAGAAUUCAUGUGCGACAUUAAAGGUAUGCUUGGUACCAUUUUUUGGUAAACCUUUUUUUUUUUUCAUUUUAUGACAAUACAAAAAUGUAAAACUCAUUUGGUGGAUGCAAAAAAUAUAAAAUUGAAUAGUUAUUGGUUUUUACUUUUUUUUCAUAAAGGUAAAAAACAUUAAAUUGAGGUUCUUUUAUCAUAUUUCUCAUUGAAUUCCCUCAAAAGUGAAAUAAAUCAUUAGAAAAAGGAGACAUACAUCCUUAAAAUUUGAAAAUUUUGUUAUGCAAACUCUUAAAUAUAAUAUAAUACCCUUUGGAUAUAGAAACUAGAAAAUUGACUUUAAAAGGUUUUAAUAAACUUUGCUGCUGUACGGCCAAGGCGGAUGUACGGUACAGCAGUUUAAUUUUAUAUUUAUAUUUAUUUUAAAGAUUUUAAAUAAAUCUUUGGAUUAAAAAGAUUUUACAAUUAGCAAAAUAUCUUCCUAUCAAUAAUAUUAAAAUUAUUUAUUGAUAAUAUUCCAAAUAAUUUAAAUUUAUUUAUUGUAAUAUUAUGUUUCUAUUUAUUAUUAAAAUUACUUUAAUAUGAUAAAAUAUGCAUCGCAGAUUCUAAAGUAUAAAAAUAUUUUCUUUGCUUGUCAACAAAUGUUUUUUUCCUGAAAACCAAAAUAAAAUUAGAGUGAUAAUAGAGCUACAAACUCUUGUACAAACUUAUUUCGUACAAACUGAUGCGUCAUUAAUUCAUUGGUUGAAUGAAAAUAUAAAAUAAUAGAAAUAAAUCAUGUGGGCCAAGAGAUAUUUAAUUCAACCAAUGAAUUAACGGCAUAUCAGUUUGUACAAAAUAAGUUUGUAUAAGAGUUUGUGGCUAUAUCAUUACUCAUAAAAUUAUGUCAACAUCAAUUCUUCAACACAGCAACAUUUGCUACCCUGCUUUAUGUUUAAUACUACUCUUUCCAUGCCCAAAAAUUCAAAAAUUUUUAAUGGGUCUUGUUACUGGGCUUCUGGCAGUAAUAACAUUGAAGGCAUUUUGAUUUUAAAUUUCUUUUAAAAGAAAAAUUCUUUAAAUUAAAAAAAAGAAAAGAAAAGAAAAAAUUGAUUUAAGAUGAAGGUUGGAUCCCUAUUCUUUUCAGAAGGCACGCGUCUCGAAGAACAUGUAUCACGUGUCUAAGAGAAAAAUGAGCAAUAAUGCCGUAUUUGCGGAAUUUAGCCACUUCGCCAGUUUCUUGGCAUCUUCCUUGCAAAUUCUUCCAUAGUGUUUAAUUUUCCAUAGUGUUUUAAUAUUCAACAUUUCUUGAAGCAAAUAACAAUACAUCUGGGUGCUACAGACAGAAGGAGAUAUGCUGGACGUCCACCUCCGACUAUUUUGUGAGAGGUUGAAAAGGGUGUUAGCUGGUGAAGAAGGCACGUUGACGUUGCGUGAUUCAACAAAUUUAGCCAUCUAGCUACAUAGAUCAUUCACCAGAUGAUAUUUGGAGGAUGCAAAAACUCAUGUAUCUAAACUUCGGUUUCAUCAAUCUGCCCGCACCUCAAAAAAAUUAUUGCAGCUCUCUGAAAAAUCUCAUUUUCUUAUCAGCCUUACACCCUAGCAGUUGCACUCCAGCUAUAUUGGGCAGACUACCAAUUGUCCAAAGUCUAAGAAUAUCUGGAGAUUUGAGUUACUAUCAAUCUGGGGUUUCCAAAAGCCUAUGCGAACUGCACAAACUUGAAUGCUUGAAGCUGGUGAAUGGGAGCAAGCGCUCACGGAUUGUCCUGACUGAAUACCAACUUCCUCCAAGUCUGAGCCAUACGAGCAUAUCGAACACUGAGCUAAUUGAGGAUCCCAUGCCAAUGCUGGAAAAGCUUCCACGCCUUCAAGUGCUGAAACUGAAGCAGAACUCGUAUUUAGGAAGAAAGCUGGCCUGCGUUGGCUCUGGUGGCUUUCCGGAACUUAAGAUUUUGCACCUGAAGUCAAUGUAUUGGCUAGACGAGUGGACGAUGGGGGCAGGAGCAAUGCCAAAACUUGAAACCUUAAUUGUCAACCCAUGUGCUUACUUGAGAAAGCUUCCAGAAGAGCUAUGGUGCAUAAAGAGCUUGUGCAAAUUGGAUUUACAUUGGCCUCAGACAGAGUUGAGACAAAGACUACGGACUUUCGAGGAUAUGGAGUGGCGGUAUGACAUCCAGUUAUAUCCUUACGGAAUCUGAUAGAUUGAAUUGGGUGACUUUUAAUCUAAUCUGAUAACUCAUACUUCUGUUACUUGCCUCAUUUUAUAUGCAACUUUUUNNNNNNNNNNNNNNNNNNNNNNNNNNNNNNNNNNNNNNNNNNNNNNNNNNNNNNNNNNNNNNNNNNNNNNNNNNNNNNNNNNNNNNNNNNNNNNNNNNNNNNNNNNNNNNNNNNNNNNNNNNNNNNNNNNNNNNNNNNNNNNNNNNNNNNNNNNNNNNNNNNNNNUGUAUCUAUCUAAUAAUUAGAACUGUAAAAGUUGAUUUUCAUCUAUGAUUCUUAUUUCCUUUUACUUGUGUAGACAAAAUCGGCAAGGGAAAUAUUGUAAUUCAGUAUUUGCUAUAACUGAUGCCAUGGUUGCAAUAUUGUCUACAAACAUGAAUAGUUGUACUCCUUUCUCUAUUUUUUGAAUUUUUUGGUAUGUAUGUUUGUGUAUUUGUUUUAGUUACUGUUUUAUGCUUAGAAGUGCUCCAUUUAGGCCCUAGAUACAUGCAGGUACGGUUUGGCUAGCUGUGGACUUGUAUGGUUUUCUAGUUAAAGAAAAUAUCAAUCUUCUAGAAAAACUGCCUCAUGCGUGUACAUUUCUGCUUCAUUUUAGUUGCUGCCUCAUGCAUAAAAUUAUGUACAACUAUACAUUUCUUAUUAAUUUAUGCAUGUAGUGAUGUUUUGAAUCAUAUCGGAGAAUCGUUUAUAUUUAUUAAGACUCAAUGUACAUGCAAUUUGUAGUAUCGCCCAGAGAUCUGCCAAGCAUUAGCUUAGAAAAAUACUCUGUCCAAAUUCAGAGAAAUUAGCCCGGGUCAUAUUUAAAUAAAUAAAUAUAAGGCCCUAAUUGAAAUGCCAUUGUAUUUUCUUAAAUUUCAAUUAAUUAUCAAAUAGAAAAAUGGCAAGUCACAUUUGAACUUAUUUACAAGCAUAGCUCUUGAUAUUUAAAUAAAUAUAUAUAUAUUUAGAUAUACCUUCAAUUGGCCUAUCUCCUCUCAUAAUAUUUCUUUCAUUCAUAACUAUUGGAUAAAGAUUAGAAUUUGAUCAAUGAAAAAAAGAUAAACAAUUACCAAUUCUAAUUGAAAUGCCAUUGUAUUUUCUUAAAUUUCAAUUAAUUAUCAAAUAGAAAAAUGGCAAGUUUUUUUUGCUUCUUGAUUUUGAUUGGGAAAACUACUGAGACAGAGAUCUUUAAUUGCUAGACAUCUUCAAUAAAUGACUCCUAGCUAAAACUCCCAAAAACUAUUCAUAGAUAUCAAUUAUUAAUGCAUAUUUACUCAACAAAAAAUUAUGAUAUAUUCCAAAUAUCAUAAUUUUUUUUCCCUCUUAUUAUUUCUGAAGUUAUUUUCUUCCUGUUUCUAAUGUUUCUCUAAUUCUUAAUCCCUUAAUGAUGAGGCGAGAAAGAUUACGAAAGUCAAACUGAUUAAAACUACAUAUAUAAAUAUUAGAAUCCAAACGUCCCGUGCCCAAAUCCUGUUGAACAACUAAUCUACAAGGGCAUUGGCCAGAGGCAAAUGAAGAUGGUUGAAUGAUUAAUUACUUUAAACAAAAAAUAAGUCGAAAUCUAUGAAUAGAAUUUUCCUUUCUUUAUACAUAUUCAAUUAUAACAAACGAUUAUUAAAUUACUCCCAACGAAAGGAUUAGGUUUUUCAUUAUUGCAAUUAAACAAGAUUCUCAUUUUCUCGCAUCGCGUGCAUUGCAAGUUGCAACAAUCGAAAACUCUUGCCGAUGCUAUUAGUAUAAUGUAUAAUGUGAGUGGCCGCAAAAAUGCUCUGCUGAUUUGACACCGGUGUAACUGUAAACUAAACUUUUAUUAUUAAGUAAAACAAACACAUGUUAACAAAAAGAACAAUAAUUCAUCAAUUUGUACAUUGACAACUAAAUAACUAUAAUUUUUUUUUGUUAAAUCUCUAUUUAUAAAAACUCUACUAACAAAAGCCCUCCUUAAAUAAAUUCUAGUUAAAAAGUUAUACCAAACGGAGCCAUAAUAUAAUUACAAAUUUCCUAACUAAGCUACAUUAUUAUGCACCUUAGCAAUUAAAGCAAAUACUAUUGACUUGAGGAAGCACUUUUUGUGUUUCUUUAUUAGUGUGUGCAUGUACCAAACAAACUCUUCUUAAAAGCGAAAACAAAUCUCUCUUUAAAUUAAUAAAUAUUAAUUUAUCAUGAUAAAUUUUUCAUUCAAUAAAUAAAUAAAUAACUUAUCUAAAAUAAUAUUUUUUCUUAGUCCUAACAAUAUUAUUUUAUAGAUAUUGUUCUACAUUACUGUGCAAUAAUGAAAAUUUUUUAUAUUUUUAAAAAUAUAGUUACAAUCUAGAUACAUGUACGUUGAUAAUACAACUUUGAAAUAUAUCAAGACAAUUUUGAAAAUCUACUUCUACUAAUAAUAAUAUUAUGGAGAAAUUAAUUGUCACGUGGCUGCUAUAGAGUCUUAUUCAACAGGGUAAUUGUUGUUAUAGUCAAAACAAAUAUUUAGUUUUUAUUUACUUGUUGAAGUGGUCCACUAAAUCAGCACUUGGUGCUAUCAUUUAGCUGUGUCUUUGUUAUUUUCUGUUAAUGUCUUUGUAUAAAUUCAUAGUCCGAAGAUGAAUAAAAGCCUUGGUUACGUUGGCACGUAAUUUUCUUCAAAGAUGAAUGAAGGCUUCCAAUUAAUUUUCUUCAAAGUUCCUCUAGUAUUGGAAGCCUUGGUCUUCCUCGAAAUAGACCAAGUUCAGCUGAUCGUUCUUUAUUUAAUUAACUACUACAAUAGGGAAAUGAAAGAAAACGAUCCUGAAAAGGCAUGAUUCCUUAUAAGAUCGCUAAUGCUCAAAAUAAGUGGCUCAUAGAAAGACAAUGACCAGUAAUGAACAUAACAUAAUGGGUUCAAUUUCUAUCAACUUGUUUGAUAGUGUAGAUGUGGGAUGGAGAUGGAUUAAAGGAACCUCUUUUGAAAAGCAUCGAAAAUGAAUAAAGUGGGAAAAUCAAGAUAAGCAUGUUUGGUGGAUGCAUUUUUUGAAUUACAAACAAAAAAUACAAAAUUGAAUAGUUCUUGGUUUCCACUUUUUUCAUAAAGGUAAAGAAUGUUAAAUUAAUGUUCUCUGAUGAUAUUUCUUAUCGGAUUUCCCUCAAAAGCAAAAUAAAUUGUCGGAAAAAUAAUACCUACUUCCUUAAAUUUUAAAAAAAUUAUCAUUUAGACCCUGAAAUUUUAAAACAGUUGCACCAAAAUCUUUUCUUUAACUAUGAUACCUCUUGAAUGUACUAACUAAAAAAUUGACUUUAAAAAAUUUUAAUCAAUACGAAUAUAAUAUAAAUAAUAAAAUCUACGUAGUAGGCUAAUAACAUUAUGAGCUAUUUUCCUAGAGGGUAUAACGCUGAUGACAAUGAGGAGAAUCACUUAAUUAACGUAUUGAAAUAGCAACUUGGUUUAGAUCUACAAUGCCACUUGCUAUAUGAAAACGUAUAUAAUCAUAAUUAAUUAGCGAAAAGGACGUUGUAAUUAUCUGAAUUAAGUAAUAAACGCUUCAACUAAUCUACAAGGGCAUUGGCCAGAGGCAAAUGAAGAUGGUUGAAUGAUUAAUUACUUUAAACAAAAAAUAAGUCGAAAUCUAUGAAUAGAAUUUUCCUUUCUUUAUACAUAUUCAAUUAUCACAAACGAUUAUUAAAUUACUCCCUACGAAAGGAUCAGGUUUGUCAAUAUUGCAAUUAAACAAGAUUCUCAUUUUCUCGCAUCGCGUGCAUUGCAAGUUGCAACAAUCGAAAACUCUUGCCGAUGCUAUUAGUAUAAUGUAUAAUGUGACUGGCCGCAAAAAUGCUCUGCUGAUUUGACACCGGUGUAAUUGUAAACUAAACUUUUAUUAUUAAGUAAAACAAACACAUGUUAACAAAAAGAACAAUAAUUCAUCAAUUUGUACAUUGACAACUAAAUAACUAUAAUUUUUUUUGUUAAAUCUCUAUUUAUAAAAACUCUACCAACAAAAGCCCUCCUUAAAUAAGUUCUAGUUUAAAAAUUAUACCAAAUGGGGUCAUAAUAUAAUUACAAAUUUCCGAACUAAGCUACAUUAUUAUGCACCUUAGCAAUUAAAGCAAAUACUAUUGACUUCAGGAAGUACUUUUUGUGUUUCUUUUAUUAGUGUGUGCAUGUACCAAACAAACUCUUCUUAAAAGCGAAAACAAAUCUCUCUUUAAAUUAAUAAAUAUUAAUUUAUCAUGAUAAAUUUUUCAUUCAAUAAAUAAAUAAAUAACUUAUCUAAAAUAAUAUUUUUUCUUAGUCCUAACAAUAUUAUUUUAUAGAUAUUGUUCUACAUUACUGUGCAAUAAUUAAAAUUUUUUAUAUUUUUUAAAAUAUAGUUACAAUCUAGAUACAUGUACGUUGAUAAUACAACUUUGAAAUAUAUCAAGACAAUUUUGAAAAUCUACUUCUACUAAUAAUAAUAUUAUGGAGAAAUUAAUUGUCACGUGGCUGCUAUAGAGUCUUAUUCAACAGGGUAAUUGUUGUUAUAGUCAAAACAAAUAUUUAGUUUUUAUUUACUUGUUGAAGUGGUCCACUAAAUCAGCACUUGGUGCUAUCAUUUAGCUGUGUCUUUGUUAUUUUCUGUUAAUGUCUUUGUAUAAAUUCAUAGUCCGAAGAUGAAUAAAAGCCUUGGUUACGUUGGCACGUAAUUUUCUUCAAAGAUGAAUGAAGGCUUCCAAUUAAUUUUCUUCAAAGUUCCUCUAGUAUUGGAAGCCUUGGUCUUCCUCGAAAUAGACCAAGUUCAGCUGAUCGUUCUUUAUUUAAUUAACUACUACAAUAGGGAAAUGAAAGAAAACGAUCCUGAAAAGGCAUGAUUCCUUAUAAGAUCGCUAAUGCUCAAAAUAAGUGGCUCAUAGAAAGACAAUGACCAGUAAUGAACAUAACAUAAUGGGUUCAAUUUCUAUCAACUUGUUUGAUAGUGUAGAUGUGGGAUGGAGAUGGAUUAAAGGAACCUCUUUUGAAAAGCAUCGAAAAUGAAUAAAGUGGGAAAAUCAAGAUAAGCAUGUUUGGUGGAUGCAUUUUUUGAAUUACAAACAAAAAAUACAAAAUUGAAUAGUUCUUGGUUUCCACUUUUUUCAUAAAGGUAAAGAAUGUUAAAUUAAUGUUCUCUGAUGAUAUUUCUUAUCGGAUUUCCCUCAAAAGCAAAAUAAAUUGUCGGAAAAAUAAUACCUACUUCCUUAAAUUUUAAAAAAAUUAUCAUUUAGACCCUGAAAUUUUAAAACAGUUGCACCAAAAUCUUUUCUUUAACUAUGAUACCUCUUGAAUGUACUAACUAAAAAAUUGACUUUAAAAAAUUUUAAUCAAUACGAAUAUAAUAUAAAUAAUAAAAUCUACGUAGUAGGCUAAUAACAUUAAAGUAUAUUUAACAUUUAAAAUAAUAUUAAAAUUUUCAAAUUAUGAUUUUUAUUUUAAUCUUAUAUUUGUAUUUAUUAUAGAGAUUUUAAAUAAACCUUUGGAUUAAAAAGAUUUUAAAACGAGGUCCGGCGACUUUCCGGCGAUGUCCGACGGUGGUCCGGCGAGGUCCGGUGGUGGUCCGGCGACUUUCCGGUGGAAGUCCAUUUAUAAUAUUAAAUUAAUAAAAUAAAAUAAUAAUUAUUAAUAAUAUUAAAUAAGUUAAAAAAUUAAAGGGUAAUUUUAAAAACUUUAAUUUUUAAUAUAAGAGGAAUUUAAAAUUUUCACUAGUUAAUAUAAGAGAAUAUUAGAUUUUUUUGUUUUUUUUUUUAUUUUAGUUUAACAAUAUAAAUUUUUUUAAUUUUAAAUGGAUAAAUUAAUUGAAUUUUGGAUGUCCAUUAAAUAUUCAUACCCAUCCAAUAUCCAAUUGGAUAUUUUUAAAAAUAUCCAUAUCCAUAUCCAAAAAGAUUUUGGAUGGAUAUUAUCCAAUCCAAUUGGAUUGGAUAUAUGGAUAUCCAAUUUGGAUGGACCAAUUUGCCAUCCCUACUAAUAACAUUAAAGUAUAUUUAACAUUUAAAAUAAUAUUAAAAAUUUCAAAUUAUGAUUUUUAUUUUAAUCUUAUAUUUGUAUUUAUUAUAGAGAUUUUAAUAAACCUUUGGAUUAAAAAGAUUUUAAAAUUAACAAAAUGUCUUCCUAUUAAUAAUAUUAACAUUAUUUUUUAUAAUAUUCCAAAUAAUUUAAACUUCAAUUUAUUUAUUGUAAUAUUAUGUUUCUAUUUAUUAUUAAAAUUACUUUAAUAUGAUAAAAUAUUUUCUUGCUUGUCAAAAAAUUUUUUUUUCCACGAAAGCCAAAAUAAAAUUAUGUCAAUAUCAAUUCUUUAACAGAACAACCUUAGGCCUUUCUAAUGUUUAAUACUACUAUUUCCAUGCCCAAAAAUUGUAAAAUUUUUAAUUAGUCCUGUUACUGGGCUUGAGGCAGUUACGCCAGUGAAGGCAAUUUGAUAUUAAAAUAUUUUUUAAUGAAAAAUUCUUUAAAUUAAAAAAGAAACAAUUGAUUUAAGCACCAAUAAUUAUGUCAUGGUAGUAAUUAAAUAAGAUAAAGGUUGGAUACCGAUUGGGAUACCUGUUCUUUUCAAAAGGCACGCAUCUUGGACUUUUCUCUAAAUGAACGCGUAUCAAUUUUUUGAGUUAAAAAAAGAGCAAUAAUGUCAUAUUUGUGGAAUUUAGCCACUUACACAGUUUCUUGGCAUCUUCCUUUCAAAUUCUCCCAUGGUGUUUAAUCUUUCAACUAUACCUCUGAGUGCUACGGAGAGAAGGAGAUAUGCUGGAAUUCCACCUCCGACUGUUUUGUGAGAGGUUGAAAAGGGUGUUAGCAGGUGAAGAAGGCACGUUGCCGCUGCCAGAUUCAACAAAUUUAACUCCACUUUUUCAAAACCUUCUUACGGAGUCCGAAAUUAUUGCUACUACUCUGCUGGAAAAAAAUGAAGCUGACAUGGCUCGGCAUUUGUUUCAACUCAUUAGAGAAGAAUUCGAUGAAUCCAAAAUAUCUUCGCCUUUUUUGCAACUGUUGGACUUAGAAGAAAGCGAUGAAGAAGUCGUUGAAACAGCAGAUAUUUUUGAAAUUCUGGAGGACAUCAAUGACUUUGUCCAUGAAUCUGAGGAAGCCAUUGACACACUCUUCAUCAACAUCAUGCAGCAGCAAAACAGUGAAAACGAAAGUGAAAGCAGUACUAAUAUGGCUCUUCUUGCUGGUCUCCACAGUAAAAUCAUUGAUAUUAGUAAUCGGAUGCAACAACUUCCACCCGGCGACAAUGGUUUUGAUAUCAGUGAAAAAAGUAACGAAAUCAUUCGCCUAUUGAGUGAGGGACAACCUCGGCUCGAUAUCAGUGAAUUUGAAAGGGGCAGAGAGAAGUUUUUUGAUCUAUUGAUUGAGGGACCAUCUGGGCUUUCAGUGGUUGCAAUUCUCGACAGCAGUGGCUUCGAUAUUUUUCAUAAAGGUAAAGAAUGUUAAAUUAAUGUUCUCUGAUGAUAUUUCUUAUCGGAUUUCCCUCAAAAGCAAAAUAAAUUGUCGGAAAAAUAAUACCUACUUCCUUAAAUUUUAAAAAAAUUAUCAUUUAGACCCUGAAAUUUUAAAACAGUUGCACCAAAAUCUUUUCUUUAACUAUGAUACCUCUUGAAUGUACUAACUAAAAAAUUGACUUUAAAAAAUUUUAAUCAAUACGAAUAUAAUAUAAAUAAUAAAAUCUACGUAGUAGGCUAAUAACAUUAAAGUAUAUUUAACAUUUAAAAUAAUAUUAAAAAUUUCAAAUUAUGAUUUUUAUUUUAAUCUUAUAUUUGUAUUUAUUAUAGAGAUUUUAAAUAAACCUUUGGAUUAAAAAGAUUUUAAAAUUAACAAAAUGUCUUCCUAUUAAUAAUAUUAACAUUAUUUUUUAUAAUAUUCAAAAUAAUUUAAACUUUAAUUUAUUUAUUGUAAUAUUAUGUUUCUAUUUAUUAUUAAAAUUACUUUAAUAUGAUAAAAUAUGCAUAAUAAAUUUUAAAAAAUAAAAUAAUUUUCUUGCUUGUCAACAAUUUUUUUUUUUCCACCAAAACCAAAAUAAAAUUAUGUCAAUAUCAAUUCUUUAACAGAACAACCUUAGGCCUUUCUAAUGUUUAAUACUACUAUUUCCAUGCCCAAAAAUUGUAAAAUUUUUAAUUAGUCCUGUUACUGGGCUUGAGGCAGUUACGCCAGUGAAGGCAAUUUGAUAUUAAAAUAUUUUUUAAUGAAAAAUUCUUUAAAUUAAAAAAGAAACAAUUGAUUUAAGCACCAAUAAUUAUGUCAUGGUAGUAAUUAAAUAAGAUAAAGGUUGGAUACCGAUUGGGAUACCUGUUCUUUUCAAAAGGCACGCAUCUUGGACUUUUCUCUAAAUGAACGCGUAUCAAUUUUUUGAGUUAAAAAAAGAGCAAUAAUGUCAUAUUUGUGGAAUUUAGCCACUUACACAGUUUCUUGGCAUCUUCCUUUCAAAUUCUCCCAUGGUGUUUAAUCUUUCAACUAUACCUCUGAGUGCUACGGAGAGAAGGAGAUAUGCUGGAAUUCCACCUCCGACUGUUUUGUGAGAGGUUGAAAAGGGUGUUAGCAGGUGAAGAAGGCACGUUGCCGCUGCCAGAUUCAACAAAUUUAACUCCACUUUUUCAAAACCUUCUUACGGAGUCCGAAAUUAUUGCUACUACUCUGCUGGAAAAAAAUGAAGCUGACAUGGCUCGGCAUUUGUUUCAACUCAUUAGAGAAGAAUUCGAUGAAUCCAAAAUAUCUUCGCCUUUUUUGCAACUGUUGGACUUAGAAGAAAGCGAUGAAGAAGUCGUUGAAACAGCAGAUAUUUUUGAAAUUCUGGAGGACAUCAAUGACUUUGUCCAUGAAUCUGAGGAAGCCAUUGACACACUCUUCAUCAACAUCAUGCAGCAGCAAAACAGUGAAAACGAAAGUGAAAGCAGUACUAAUAUGGCUCUUCUUGCUGGUCUCCACAGUAAAAUCAUUGAUAUUAGUAAUCGGAUGCAACAACUUCCACCCGGCGACAAUGGUUUUGAUAUCAGUGAAAAAAGUAACGAAAUCAUUCGCCUAUUGAGUGAGGGACAACCUCGGCUCGAUAUCAGUGAAUUUGAAAGGGGCAGAGAGAAGUUUUUUGAUCUAUUGAUUGAGGGACCAUCUGGGCUUUCAGUGGUUGCAAUUCUCGACAGCAGUGGCUUCGAUAGGACUGCUUUUGCUGCAGAUACUUACAACAAUAAUCAUGUAAAGUUCUAUUUUGACUGUCUUGCUUGGGUCAGGGUUUCUGUAUUCUACGAUUUUCGCAUGAUAUUGGAUGACAUAAUCAAGUCUGUGAUGCCUCCAUCUCGGGUGAGUGUAAUUAUCGGUGAAGAUUAUCAAUUCAAGGAAUCUAUUCUUCGAGAUUACCUAACAAACAGGAAGUACUUUAUUGUGCUUGAUGAUGUCUGCGAUAACAUUGAGAUAUGGGAUGAUCUUGAAGAAGUUCUUCCUGAUAAUCAGAAUGGAAGCAGAGUAUUGAUAUUGGUCACUGAUCCAGACCUCCUUGCGUCGUUGGAAAUGGAAAACGGAGAGAAGAUUCGGCUUGCUUCGGUGCUCAUUGGAGGACCAUUGAUCAGAUUAAAGCAUGAAGCCUGGCAAUUUUUCGUCCUACACCAUGGAAGUAUGCCAUUAGAAAAUUAUGUUCAAGGCGAAGCGAUUCCGACAGUUUGGAGACAAAUUUUCUCUGUGAUGGAGUUACCUUUUCACUUGAAAGUCUGCUGCAUCUAUUUGUGUGUCUUCCCACCAGGCAUUGAGAUAUCCACGAGGCAAUUAUAUCAGUUGUGGGUAGCUGAAGGUUUCAUACCAUACAACGAUGAAGAAACUGCCGAACAUUACUUGAAAGAACUAAUCCAUCGCGGCUUCAUUCAAGUGAGUAAGAGAAGAGCCGGAGGCACAAUUAAAGCUUGUUAUGUUCCAAGUCUUGCAUAUACUCCAAUGGUUUUGGUGGCAGAGAAGACGGGAUUUGUCUGGAUGCCUGAAAUGGAAGGGGGAUCAGUGGCAUAUGUUAAACGGUGCUUCAUUUUGGAUGAUCUGAUUGACUUCUUUUCUUUGAAGCAUUCUGACAUGUACCUCCAAUCUUUUAUGAAUCACAGUUCAGAAAGCGAUCGUCUCGCUCUGAUAGAUUGCGAGAAUUUUUGUAAAAAGUUCAAACACCUUCGGGUAUUGAAUUUGGGUUCUGCAGUCCUGGACCAAUAUCCACCCGGAUUAGGAAAUUUAUAUCUUUUGAAGUAUUUGAAAUUGAAUAUCCCUUCGCUCAAAUGCCUUCCUUCACUGCUCUGCACCCUUUUAAACCUUCAAACACUAGAAAUGCCAUCUAGCUACAUAGAUCAGUCGCCAGAGGAUAUUUGGAUGAUGCAAAAACUCAUGCAUCUAAACUUUGGUUCUAUCACUCUGCUGUACGGCCAAGGCGGAUGUACGGUACAGCAGAAUAUGUAUAAUAAAUUGUAAAAUACAAAAAUAUUUUCAAAAAAUUAUUCUAGCUCUCUGAAAAAUCUCAUUUUCAUAUCAGCUUUAAACCCUAGUAGUUGUACUCCUGAUAUAUUGGGCAGACUACCUAGUGUUCAGACUCUUCGGAUAUCUGGAGAUUUGAGUUACUAUCAAUCUGGGGUUUCCAAAAGCCUUUGCGAACUCCACAAACUUGAAUGCUUGAAGCUGGUGAAUGAGAGCAAGCCCUCACGGAUGGUCCUGUCUGAAUACCAAUUUCCCCCAAGUCUGAUCCAACUGAGCUUAUCAAAUACUGAGCUAAUGGAGGAUCCCAUGCCAAUUCUGGAAAAUCUUCCACGCCUUCGAGUGCUGAAACUGAAGCAGAACUCGUAUUUAGGAAGAAAGCUUGCUUGUGUUGGCUUGAGUAGCUUUCCCGAACUUAAGGUUUUGCACCUGAAAUCAAUGUAUUGGCUAGAUGAGUGGACGAUGGGGGCUGGAGCAAUGCCGAAACUUGAAAGCUUAAUUGUCAACCCAUGUGCUUACUUGAGAAAGCUUCCAGAAGAGCUGUGGUGCAUAAAGAGCUUGCGCAAAUUGAAUUUACAUUGGCCUCAGACAGAGUUGAGACAAACACUACGGACUUUCGAGGAUAUGGAGUGGCGGUAUGACAUCCAGUUAUAUCCUUACGGAAUCUGAUGGAUUGAAUUGGGUGAGUUUUAAUCUUUUCUGAUAACUCAUAUUUUUAUAUGCAUUUUCUUUUUUUUCCCACUUUCUCAAUAGAUUUAUAUUUAUGGUAAAACCUUCAAGGAGGUCAUAAAAAUGCCAAACUAAUUGAGAUUGCUUCUGAUGUCAAAAUUAUGUCUCAGCAUAGACUCAGCUUGGGUGGCAAAACAGAGUGGGAUAGCCACACAUUGCAGCAGAGAAACAAAGAAAGAUCCCCCUUUUAUCAAUCUAAUAAGAACCGUAAAAGCAGAUUUUCAUUUAUUAUUCUUAUUUUCACUUACGUAGGCAAAAUUGGAGAGGGAAACAACGCCAGCCGGACUUUCAGUUUCAAUUUUAAUUCAGCAUUGAUUCAUGAGACAGGGCAUUGUUUUAUUUAGCAGAUUUCGAGGAUUUGCUAUAAACAUGCCAUGGUUGCAAUGUUGUCUACAAACUUGAACUUUUGCACUCCUUUUGCUAUUUUGAAUUUGCUGGUAUGUAUGUGUGUAUUCUGUUUUAAUAUAUAUAUAUAUAUUCUGUUUUAUGCUUAGAAGUAUUCCAUUUAAACCCCCGACUUGCAGGUAUGGUUUGCUAGUCAAAGAAAUAUCAAUUUUCUAGGAAAAAUUCCUCAUUUUAGUUGCUGAUUGCACGUUCAAUUUCGUUCUUAGAAUAUUCGUUCUCAUUAAAAUGAUGCACGCACUGAUGUUUUGAAUCAUAUCAGAGAAUCAUUUGUAUUUAUUGAGAGUCAAUUACAACUGAUGUAGCAGGAUUUUAGGUCAUAUGAGAACAAGCAUGUAGGAAAAAAUUCAUCUAGAAAAUUAGUGCAGCCGCACUUUCAAUCGAAUUGCUAUUAUGAACAACAAUUCAUGAGUAAAUCGUUGUUCAAACUACAGGUAGCUUAUACAAACUUAAAUGGCUUUUGAGUAGAAGCAAUGUCAACGCUAGGAAUUCAAUACAAAAGCAGUCAAGUUCAAGUAGUAAUAUGAUUUAAAAAACUCUCGAUAAGAUAACAAGUAUUAAAUUUUUAAAAUUUCAUUGAAAUAUUUUCAUACAAUCAAUUUAAUUGCGGCCGUCUUCCAAAUGUUUUCAUAUUUUAAAUUGUUGAAUCAUAAUCAACCUCUUUAUCAGCACCACAAAAAAUAUCAUUUCUAAUGCAAACAACUAGGUUAUUGCUUAUCAUUGUCUAAUAGAGCAUAUUAGCAGCUAUCAUAAAAAUAAAAAAAAAAAUUAUUGUCUGAUUUUAAGAUACUUUCAAGUUUGACCCCCUACCUCAAUUGUCAGAGAGGGGAAAAAAAGAGUAAAUAACAUGAAAAGAAAGUAUAUGAAGUCAAAAAAAAGGUUGGGAAUAAGUAAUAUACAAAUGUAAGGCUGCUUCGAUCACAUUUGAAGUUAAUGACAAGCAUAGCUCUUCAUAUUUAAGUAAAUAUAAAAUAGAAUAUUAGCUGUUGAAUAGAUUAUAAGCAUAGAUCUUGACUUUUGAAUUUAAUUACAGAAAUUUUGGUGGAUUGGUGAACAGAAGAAAUCCAUUCGUUCCACCAAUUACAUUGAGGAUUUUAAUGAAUCCCAAUCUCAGGUAACAUGUUAAUGCCAACAGUACUGGCAAGAUAUCAAAUGCGGGAGAUUCGAGACUAUUAGCUUUAAGAGAACCAAUAGAGACUGACAAGUUAGAAAUAACUUGCUAAGUUGAGAAGUACGACUGACAAAAUGAAUAUAGUGGGAAAAUCAAGAUAAGCUAAUAGUUUUCUGUUUCUGCAUCUCUCUUACCGUCUCUGUUAUAUUUGCUUUUAACAACUCAAAUAUUUAGGAUUUAUUUACCAAUUGUUAUUCUACGUCACAAAUACUCUGUUUUUUUUUUCUUUUUUCUUUAAUCGCUCUGUUUUAUACUUUUGACAUAUCUUUUAGGUCUUUAGUCUACCAAAUAAUCAUAAAUAAAGCAUAUAAAAUGUAUUUCUAAUUUCAGAAGGCAUCUAGGACUUUAUUCUCUGCUUUACUUCUAAAUUAAUUAGCCAAAGGAAGUUUGGCUUUCAGCAGAGCACUUUAAAAAGAAAAUGAGAAAUGAGUCAUCUUUAACUAUUAUGCUCAUCCUUAAUGUCUCCACGUUAACAAUUGUAAGGAAGUGAGGACUGUAAAUUUACUUUCUGUCUAUUUAUUCUUUUGAGAAUCGUUUGUAUUUAUUGAGAGUCAACAUACAUACACUUUGUAGUAUAGCCCAGAGAUCUGCGAUCCACUCCCACCAAUACUCGGAGAGAUAUCUAAUGCUAUCCAGAUUCAUAAAAAUGAGCCUCAUUAAAAGCCUAGUGGCGAUAUGAGUUUUUUUCCUCAAGAAAUGUUUCUGUAAAUUGCUUAAAUAUUGGUGGGGAUGCAUAAUUGUAACCCAGUUGAUUAAUUUCUAACACAACUGAUGUAGCAGGAUUUUGGGUCAUACGAGAACAAGCAUGUAGGAAAAACUUCAUCUAGAAAAUUAGUGCAGCCGCACUUUCAAUCAAAUUGCUAUUAUGAACAAGUAUUAAAUUUUUAAAAUUUCAUUGAAAUAUUUUCAUACAAUCAAUUUAAUUGCGGCCGUCUUCCAAAUGUUUUCAUAUUUUAAAUUGUUGAAUCAUAAUCAACCUCUUUAUCAGCACCACAAAAAAUAUCAUUUCUAAUGCAAACAACUAGGUUAUUGCUUAUCAUUGUCUAAUAGAGCAUAUUAGCAGCUAUCAUAAAAAUAAAAAAAAAAAUUAUUGUCUGAUUUUAAGAUACUUUCAAGUUUGACCCCCUACCUCAAUUGUCAGAGAGGGGAAAAAAAGAGUAAAUAACAUGAAAAGAAAGUAUAUGAAGUCAAAAAAAAGGUUGGGAAUAAGUAAUAUACAAAUGUAAGGCUGCUUCGAUCACAUUUGAAGUUAAUGACAAGCAUAGCUCUUCAUAUUUAAGUAAAUAUAAAAUAGAAUAUUAGCUGUUGAAUAGAUUAUAAGCAUAGAUCUUGACUUUUGAAUUUAAUUACAGAAAUUUUGGUGGAUUGGUGAACAGAAGAAAUCCAUUCGUUCCACCAAUUACAUUGAGGAUUUUAAUGAAUCCCAAUCUCAGGUAACAUGUUAAUGCCAACAGUACUGGCAAGAUAUCAAAUGCGGGAGAUUCGAGACUAUUAGCUUUAAGAGAACCAAUAGAGACUGACAAGUUAGAAAUAACUUGCUAAGUUGAGAAGUACGACUGACAAAAUGAAUAUAGUGGGAAAAUCAAGAUAAGCUAAUAGUUUUCUGUUUCUGCAUCUCUCUUACCGUCUCUGUUAUAUUUGCUUUUAACAACUCAAAUAUUUAGGAUUUAUUUACCAAUUGUUAUUCUACGUCACAAAUACUCUGUUUUUUUUUUCUUUUUUCUUUAAUCGCUCUGUUUUAUACUUUUGACAUAUCUUUUAGGUCUUUAGUCUACCAAAUAAUCAUAAAUAAAGCAUAUAAAAUGUAUUUCUAAUUUCAGAAGGCAUCUAGGACUUUAUUCUCUGCUUUACUUCUAAAUUAAUUAGCCAAAGGAAGUUUGGCUUUCAGCAGAGCACUUUAAAAAGAAAAUGAGAAAUGAGUCAUCUUUAACUAUUAUGCUCAUCCUUAAUGUCUCCACGUUAACAAUUGUAAGGAAGUGAGGACUGUAAAUUUACUUUCUGUCUAUUUAUUCUUUUGGCAUAUGUGCACGAAUAUAUAUGUCAGGAAAUUGAAUUGUAUGAUUUUCACGAUGACUCUUAAAUGCACGCAUCCAUAUCUUUCUAUUUUCAAAGAUGGUAAUGGAAAACUGUGUUACUCUCUCUUAACAUUACACUAAUUCUAAAAUACCUAAAAUGUAUAAAUAUAUCUAAUAUAGACUUACUAAGAAAUCAUGUGAGACAUUAAGGAUAUGUUUGGUACCUUUUUGGCAAACUGUUUUUCGUUUUACAAACAAAAAAUACAAAAUUGAAUAGUUCUUGGUUUUCCCUUUUUUUUCAUUAAGUUAGAGAACGUUAAAUUGACGUUUCUCUUAUCUUAUUUCUCAUCGGAUUCCCUCAAAAGUAAAAUUAAUUAUCGGAAAAAAAGACACUUAUACCUCUAGGAUUUAGACAAAUUGUCAUGCAGACCCUCAAAUUUUUAAAAAGAAAUGCCAAAAUUUUUUUUUUAACAGAUGGGGGCUGGAGCAAUGCCAAAACUUGAAAGCUUAAUUGUCAACCCAUGUCUGCUGUACGGCCAAGGCGGAUGUACGGUACAGCAUAAACAAAAUAUCUUCCUAUUAAUAAUAUUAAAAUUAUUUGUAUAAUAUUCAAAAUAAUUUAAACUUUAAUUGAUUUAUUGUAAUAUUAUGUUUCCAUUUAUUAUUAAAAUUACUUUAAUAUGAUAAAAUAUGUAUAACAGAUUGUAAAAUAUAAAAACAGUAUCUUGCUUGUCAACAAAUUUUUUUUUUUUACUCGAAAGCAAAAAUAAAAUUAUGCCAAUAUCAAUUCUUUGACAGAACAACCUUAGCUUUCUGAUGUUUAAUACUACUCUUUCUAAGCCCAAAAAUUCUAAAAUUUUUAAUUAAUUCUGUUACUGGGAUUGCGGCAGUAAUACCAUUGAAGGCAUUUUGAUAUUAAUUUUUUUUAAAGAAAAAUUCUUUAAAUUAAAAAAAGAAACAAUUGAAGAAAUCUGUUCUUCGAGAUUACCUAACAAACAAGAAGUACUUUAUUGUGCUUGAUGAUGUCUUCGAUGACAGUGAGUUAUGGGAUGAUCUGGAAGAACUUCUUCCUAAUAAUCAGAAUGGAAGCAGAGUAUUGAUAUUGGUUGCUGAUCUCGACCUCCUUGCGUCAUUGGAAAUGGAAAACGGAGAGAAGAUUCGGCUAAAUUCAGUGCUCGUUGGAGGACCAUUGAUCAGAUUAAAGCAUGAAGCCUGGCAAUUUUUCAUCCUACACUACGGAAGUGCGCCAUUAGAAAAUUUAUGGAUGAAAAAGUGGUUUUGACAUUUUGAGUCGAACUUGUUCUGUGUGGGAGUUAUCUUUUCACUUGAAAGCCUGCGGCAUCUAUCUGUGUGUCUUCCCUCCAAGCAUUAAGAUAUCUACCAGGCAGUUACGUCAGUUGUGGAUAGCUGAAGGUUUCAUACAAUACAACAGUGAAGAAACUGCCGAACACUACUUGAAAGAACUAAUCCAUCGCGGCUUCUUUCAAGUGAGUAAGAGAAGAGCCGGAGGCACAAUUAAAGCGUGUUAUGUUCCAAGUCUUGUAUAUUAUUCAUUGUUGUUGGUGGCAGAGAAGACGAGAUUUGUCUUGAUGCCUGACAAGGAAGAGGAAUCUUUGGCAAAUGUUAAACGGUGCUUCAUUUUGGAAGAUCUGAUUGAGUUCAUUUUUUUAGAACAGUCUGGCAUGUAUCUCCAGUCUUUUCUAAAUCACAGUUCAGAAAGCGAUCAUCUCGCUCUGAUAGAUUGCGAGAAUUUUUGUGAAAAGUUCAAAUACCUUCGGUUACUGAACUUGGGUUAUGCAGUUCUCGACCAAUUUCCACUCGGAUUAGAAAAUUUAAUCCUUUUGAAGCAUUUGAAAUUGAAUAUCCCUUCGCUCAAAUGCCUUCCUUCGCUGCUGUGCACUAUUUUAAACCUUCAAACACUAGAAAUGCCAUCUAGCUACGUAGAUCACUCGCUGGAGGAUAUUUGGAUGAUGCAAAAACUCAUGCAUCUAAACUUUGGUUCCAUCACUCUUCCCGCACCUCCAAAAAAUUAUUCUAGCUCUCUGAAAAAUCUCAUUUUCAUAUCAGCUUUAAACCCUAGUAGUUUUACUCCUGAUAUAUUGCGCAGACUACCUAAUGUUCAAACACUUCGGAUAUCUGGAGAUUUGAGUUGCUAUCACUCUGGGGUUUCCAAUAGCCUAUUGGGACUCCACAAACUUGAAUGCUUGAAGCUGGUGAAUGAGAGCAAGCUCUCACGGGUUGUCCUGUCUAAAUACCAGUUUCCUUUAAGUCUAAGCCAUCUGAGCUUAUCAAAUACUGAGCUAAUGCAGGAUCCCAUGCCAAUUAAUAUAUCAAGACUAGUUUGAAAAUCUACUUCUACUAAUAAUAAUAUUUAAGGAGAAAUUAGCUGUCACGUGGCUGCUGUGGAGUCCUAUUCAUCAGGGUAGUUGUUGUUAUAGUCAAAAUAAAUAUUUAGUUUUUAUUUACUUGUAGAAGUGGUCCACUACGUCAGCACUUGUUGCUAUCAUUUAGCUGUGUCUUUGUUAUUUUCUGUUCAAGUCUUUAUAUAAAUUCAUAGUCCAAAGAUUAAAAAAAAAAAAAAAAAAUUCAUAGUCCAAAGAUAAAAAAAAAAAAAAAAAAAGCAACAGAUUAAUUUUCUUCAAAGUUCAUCUAGUAUUGAAGGCCGUGGUCUUCCUCAAAAUAGACCAAGUUCAGUUGUUCGUUCUUUAUUUAGUUGACUACUACAAUAGGGAAACAAAAGAAAAUGAUCCUGAAAGGGCUUGAUUUGUUAUACAUACCAAUUACAAGGUCAGUUAUGUAGGCAUGUAACAAAAUAGUAUCAGAGCAAGGCAUGUAGGAAUCAUGAUUGAAAAGCUUAGAAACCGAAGUAAGCUCCUUGCAGCUUAAUUUAUAGUCAAAUUCAAAUCUUGAACAAUGGUCAUGAACGAAAGAAUAUCAUGAAAUGUGAUAAUCCAAACGAAGGUGCGAAUGGAUAUUGGUAUUAUGGGCUCUGCUUAGACUAUUUACACAUUUAAACAAUAAUCAUCACUAUUUUCGACCACUAUAUCUUCCGAAAAUAAUUUUUGCCAAAAGUCACCAUAUUUGUGAAUUAAAUCUAUUUUAAAAAUAGAUUUAAUCACCAUCAAUUUUGUCACGGUAAGAUAAAGUAGGGAUAGCUAAUAUAUAUAUUCUUUCUAAAAGUCAUGACUUUUCUCUAAACAUUAAUCAUAUUUUUUUUGAGAAAAGUGAGUAAUAAUAAUAUCGUCAGGAGUUUAGAUAAUGCUAUAUGAUCAACUGAUUUAAAAAAAAUACAAUUGAUAUAGCAGCGUCCUAGGUCAUAUGAGGACAAACAUGUAGGAAAGUUCAUCUAGAAAAUUAGUGCAUCCGCAGUUUCAAUCAAAUUGCUAUAUUGAGCAACAAUUAAUGAAUAAAUUUGUUAUUCAACCUAUAUGUAACUAACACAAAUUUUAAUGACCUUCACAUAGCAGCAGUGGAAGUACCCAAUUUUUGAGACUUCACUGAAAUAUUUUCAUUCAAUCAAUUUACAACCAUCUUCCAUAUGCUUUCAUAUUUUAAAAUGUUAAAUGUUAAUCUCACUAUCAACACCACAAAAAAUAUAUCAUUUUUAAUGAAGACAAUUAGGUUAUCAUUUCUAAUAGAGCAUCUUGAGCAGUUAGCUUAAAAAAAUUAAGCAAACUAUUGUAUGAUUUUUAAGAUAUUUUAAGUAAUUUUAUCAACUAUAAAAUCAUCACCUAGUUCAUUAUAAGUGACACAACAUUGGUCAAUGACACAUAACAUUGGAAUUUAAGUUGGUACUCAAUUGUUGGGAUCUCUAAUAUUAUUGGACAUGAUUUAAUGAUCAAAUUCAAAUUUUGCACCGGUGGCCAUGAAUGAAAGAAUAUCAUGAAAGGUGUUAAGAUGCACAUGGAUAUUGGUAUUAGGGAUUAUGUUUAGGAUAUCAAUUAUUCAUACAGAUUUACUCUACAAAAAAUCAUUCCAAAUUUCAUAAUUAUUUUCCCUCUUACUUAUUUCCGAAGUUAUUUUCUUCCUCUUCCUAACGUUUCUCUAAUUCUGAAUCCCUUAACGAUGAGGGGAAAAAGAUUAAGAAAGUCAAACUGAUUAAAGCUAAAUAAAUAAAUAUUAGAAUCCAAAUUUUCCGUGCCCAAAUUCCGUUGAAUAUGAAAUAUAUAAAAUUAGCAAAUUGACUACAUCAAAAAAUUAAAAAAAUCAAAAUUCAUCAUGUAAAAAUCUUAUUUAACUCCUAAUUUCAUUACAAAAUCGUUCACAAGUUAAUUGAUAUCAGUAUUAGGUGAUCAAAGCUCAAGCAUUUUUAAUAAGCAAAGCUCAAAAGAAUUUCAUAAGAAAUCACUUACCAAUGAAAAUCAAUGCAGAGAAACAAUUGAGCUAUUUUCCUAGAGGGUAUAACGAUGAUGACAAUGAGUAGAAUCACUUAAUUAACGUAUUGAAAUAGCAACUUAGUUCAGAUCUACAAUGCCACUUGCUAUAUGAAAACGUAUAUAAUCAUAAUUAAUUAGCGAAAUGUCAAGUUCUAUUUUGACUGUCUUGCUUGGGUCAGGGUUUCUGUAUUCUACCAUUUUGGCAAGAUAUUGGAUGGCAUAAUCAAGUCUGUGAUGCCUCCAUCUCAGGUUAGUGUAAUUAUCGGUGAAGAUUAUAAUACAUAUUCAAUUAUAACAAACGAUUAUUAAAUUACUCCCAUCGAAAGGAUUAGGUUUGUCAUUAUUGACAAUUAAAUUAACAAGAUUCUCAUUUUCUCUCACCGCAUGCAUUGCAAGUUGAAAAGAACAUUGACUUGAGAAAAUACUCUGAUGAUUAAAUUACUCCCAAUAAUCAGAAUGGAAGCAGAGUAUUGAUAUUGGUCACUGAUCCACACCUCCUUACGCUGUCGGAAAUGGAAAACGGAGAGAAGAUUCGGCUUGAUUCAGUGAAAGAUGUUAAGAAAAGAACAAAUGUUCAUCAAUUUAGACAAUAUAAUCAAACAACUAAAAUUUUUUUAGUGAAAUUUCUAUUUAUAAUACCUCUACUAACAAAAUAUCUACUUAAAUAAGUUCUACUAAGCUAUAUUAUUAUGAACCGUAUCGAUUAAAGCAAAUACCAUUGACUUGAGAAAGCACUUUUUGUGUUUCUUUAUAAGUGUGAACAUGUACCAAACAAACUCUUUAUAAAACCAAAAAAGUCUCUUGUUCUGUGUUGGAGUUACCUUUUCACUUGAAAGUCUGCUGCAUUUAUUUGUGUGUUUUCCCUCCAAGUAUUGAGAUAUCUACUAGGCAAUUAUAUCAGUUGUGGGAAGCUGAAGGCUUCAUACCAUACAACAGUGAGGAAACUGCCGAACAUCACUUAAAAGAACUAAUCCAUCGCGGCUUCAUUCAAGUGAGUAAGAGAAGCGCCGGAGGCACGAUUAAAGCGUGUUAUGUUCCAAGU